rnacentral:lncRNA from 1 species
ACAUCCAGGACGACUGCCGCGCGACUUGCCGUGGUCUCUGCGAUGGCUUCGGUACGAACACGUGCAAUAACAUCAUUGCCAUCGCCCCUGCUGUCCUGAACAAUAUCAACUUCUUCUUCACGACGUGCAAAGUGAGGGUCUCUGGGCUGUGCGCGUCCUUCUGCGUCACUACCUGCAGCCUCAACACCGUGACGCCGGCCAGCCCGCCGCCACCACCAUGCAAGCCAUAAUUGGUCCAUGCGUAUUACUACAGCAUGAAUGUAAUUCAAGUCCCGGCCGUAGAUCCGGGUAAUUUGCGUUCAAUUCUAAUUUCCCUUUGAUUGUUCCGGUUGUCGUGUCACCAAGUACUAGUCAUGCAUUAUUGUGCACACCUGCAUAUGUAAUUUUAUUUGAAAAGGUUAUUACCUAUCUUGAGAAAUUUACGGCUAUUAUUUUUACCGCGAUAUAUUUACCUGCAUUGUACCUUCCAUCACAUUACUAUGGUUAAUUUUUCUAUUUCUCUAUCUUCUAUCUCUUCCCAAAAGUUUGAGCUGAUGUGCUCCUCCCUCCUCUCGGACACAAUUCCACUACUGGAUACUCCCUCCAUUUUUAUUUAUAAGGUGCACACACAUAUCAAGAUUCAAACUUUGCAAUCUUUGACCAAUAACAUGACCAUUAAUCUUUUAUUUGUAUAAUAUAAACUUUGUAUGGUUGGAUUCAAAAUCAAAUAUACUCUACUGUGAUUAUAAGUUUAUAAUCAUAAGUAAUAUAAUAUAAGAAAAAUGAAUGUCAUCAAAGUGUUAUUUAGAAGAUCGUGCCAAAUCAUACUAUACCUUAUAAAAAUAGAUGGAGGGAGUACUACCCUAACUGCAUUAAAUAGAUCGUUGAUGUUUCGCCACCAAAACCCCCAAUGUUGAUCUUCCACCACCAUGGCUAGAGGCACAACGCCACACAACCCCCACCCUACCCCCCCCCCCACUCCGAUGCCUCCAGCAGGCUAGCAUACGCCCAUGGUCUCCCCCUAAGCGUGCGCCUCAUCCAACCUGAACCCUAAACAUCGCCAAUAAAAAUUGGACAACAUAGCUACAACCCUCGACUGUAUGUGGUCGCAGAGGCUUGAUAUUUUUUUUCCACUUUCUAAAAAAACAAUAGCAAACCCUGCCGAUCGUGAUAUGGACAGUCAGCAACCCUAUUUCUCCGAAUUUUCAUAUGCAGGGACUGGAUGACACGUUCAUUAUAAACUCCCUCAGUCAAUGGUGCUCAUUAGAAAAUGUUACACAUGCUGGUACGCUGGUGUGUAUGCAUGUAAUAUCUCAUUAACUACUACAACGAAUGAAAUGCAUGCUCAUCCUACUGUAAUGCAUUCAAACGACUCUAAGGGCCUGUUUGUUUCCCUCCUGGAUUAUAUAAGAGCAACUCCAAGAGUUCCCCAAAAAAUUCUUCCCCAAAACGAGGUAUUGGGAGCUAUGCUAAAAAUUUUUUCCCCAAAAAACAUAUCAGCCCGGAGCAGAUCGCUAAAAACUACUCCUCAAUAAUUUAAAAGAGGCCACGUCAUCGGAUUGGGCCCAUUAGUAUCGGUUGAUUUUUUUUCUCUAGUACCGUGUCCUGAGCCCGUCAAAAAUCCUUCUCCGGUACCCUAUCACGCCGCCUGCCUGUGCGCACGGAGGUCCCACGCCGCCACCCCCCUGCGCAUGGUGGACUAACUCUGGCAGCCCCUGCGCGGCAUUCCUGAUGCCAGCAGGCCUGCAUCCUGCAUCCUCCGUGCACUGCGCUGGAUCAAAGUAAUGAUUAACUUCGCAGCAUCAUUUUCAUUUUGUUUUUUUGUUGCGAUCAGCUUUGACAUGCUAUAAUGAGGAUUCUAUCGUAAUGAGGUUUUUGUGGCCGCCAAUACCUAGGAAAAACAGUUCCUUCGAUCGCCAACUUGAAUUGAAGAUAGGUAAAAAGGAAUUGCUAUGAAUCGAUGAAGCCUUUCGAUGCAUCUGGUGUUAGAUUCGUCGUCAGAUGAUGACGAUGAUGAUUUCUUAAUCUCUAUCAUAGGUCGUCAAGUACUUCAGCGAGAUAGACAGGCAGGGCAUCAAAGGUUGUAUCAAGAUUAUUUUUCAGAUGAUCCUACGUACGGACAUAGUUAUUUCAGAUGACGGUAUGUAAACAAUAGAUUUAUUUGGACCAUUUUUUCAAAAAAUUCAUAUUAUACAUGUGUCUCAUUACUCUUGACAUGCAGGUUUCGAAUGAGGCGUACACUGUUUGUACGCAUAUGGAAUGCCGUAGAGCAACAUGAUGAAUAUUUCAUGCAGAAAAGAAACACUGCCGGUGUACUUGGCCUUUCUAGUCUGCAAAAGAUUACUGUAGCAUUUCUGAUGUUAACUUAUGGAGUAGCAGCUAAUGCUACAGAUGAUUAUGUCCGUAUCGGUGAGAGUACUGCUAUUGAGAGUCUGAGAAGGUUUGUCAGUGCUGUUGUUGAGGUUUUUGGAGAUGAGUACUUGAGAUCACCUAAUGAAGAUGAUACUGCUAGAUAACUUGCCAUUGGAGAGAGUAGAGGUUUUCCUGGUAUGCUUGGGUCGAUUGAUUGUAUGCAUUGGAGGUGGAAAAAUUGUCCUUCGGCAUGGCAAGGUAUGUAUACUGGGCAUGUGCAUGAGCCUACAAUUAUACUUGAAGGUGUUGCAAAUAAAGAUCUUUGGAUUUGGCAUGCUUUCUUUGGGAUGCCUGGUUCCCACAACGACAUCAACGUUUUGCACCGGUCUUCUUUAUUCGCACGGCUAGCUAAAGGUCAAGCUCCAAAGGUGAAUUAUACCAUUAAUAACAAUAAAUAUACAAUGGGUUAUUAUCUUGUUGAUGGCAUAUAUCCCUUGUGGGCCACAACUGUGAAGAGCAUACCUGAACCACAAGGUAACAAGAAGAAAUAUUUUGCAACUGCCCAAGAAAUUUGUAGGAAGGAUGUGGAACGAGCGUUUGGGAUUUUACAGUCUCGUUUCGCUAUCGUUAGUGGGGCAGCUCGAUUUUGGGAUCAAGACACCAUCGGACAAAUUAUGAGGGCUUGUGUCAUUAUGCACAACAUGAUAGUUGAGGAUGAGCACGAUGAGGAAGAUGAUUUAAAUUAUGAUGGGGUGGGAGAAAAGGUGAAGAUUUCUCACGAUGAAACACCUGAGCUUGAGGAGUUUAUUAAAAAUUACAAGAAUAUAAGGGAUAAAGAUAUUCACAAUCAGCUUCAAGAUGACCUCAUUGAGCACCUAUGGCAACAUCAUCCAGACCUCUACAAAUGAUUUGCCUAUAGUUCAUAGUAAAUGUUACUUUCAAUAAUUUUUGCUACAUUAUAAUUUUUUUAUAAUUUGAGAUAAACCAUACAGACAUAAACAAUUUGUUGGUACAUUACUACUAAUUUAUUGGAUGUUUGCAUACUGUCUCUUAAGUUUGUAGAGUGCAAAAUUAUGCUGCCUGACUUUACAAGGCAAACCAUGCAGUUUGCUUCAGAACACCACAUAAAGCAUCACUGAAUUACCAAACCAAGCAAGCCAUCAUUAUUAUAACAGAACAAGUCUGAAAACAGUGUAACACAUCUAGCAUCCGUUUAACUGUGUUCAUGAAUGCUCCUAACUGUGAUUAAGAACAAUCAAAAUAUCAAAAUAGGCAGUAAUGAACUAAUCAUUACAUCAAGCUGCAACAUCUGCAUGCAUAUCUACCUGACUUGGCACAACAUAGGGAGCUAUAGAUUGUCUUCUUGUUAGUCUUUGAACCUGAUUCUCAAGAUAUUUUGGUAUGCCGUCUCUCAGAGGCAUUCAGAGUCUCCAUGUAUUGCUACUCUAGUGUCUUCAUAAUUUCUCUUUCCACAACAGCAACAGCCUGAAUAUAAGAAAUAUCAAUUGAAUCCAUUGCAAUAGUACGCACAUUUAUGCUAUCAAUAAUUAAAAAUAUCAAAUGAUGUGUAGUUUCAGAUUCUCCAAAAUGAGACAUAAGCUUGUCAACAAAAUCUCAUAUGUUCAAAAUUGAAUGGCUUCAAUGCUGUUCCUAACUUCAAAGUAUCAACAGGAAAAAUUAAUAUUCUUACAAGAUGCUUUGCUAUUGAGUUGUUGUUCAUCUCUUUCUGUAUCCAAGAUGGCGGUCCAAUCUCAUAGACAGCCCUUGUCCUAUUUUCUGUUCGAUAUUUGUUCGAGAAAAUAAAUGGCAAUGCCGUGUUACAACAAUCCUGGGCUAAACAGGUCAAGACUCAUUGCCAGGUUGGGCAUCGGAAUCAGGCUGCUUCUGGUGGCUGCUGCCAUCGCUGUCGUUUUGCUCAUUCAUAUCCUUAUUAGUAUAUUAUGUUUACCACACAUAAAGAAAAAAUAAGAUUGAGCAUUUCAAAGAUGAUCCCCAUAACUUAUCCACCAACCACAAAUUUAAAAAUCAGUGUGAAGACCCUAUAGCUUGCUGCUAGCUAUUCUUUUGUUGUUUACUAAGUUUAAAGGACGGUGUUCAGAGGAACCCAGGAAAUUUUUAGCUGAACAUGGAAAAUGGAAACAACAGGGCAUCAAAUAGUUUGUCUCUGGAAUUGCUACUUCAAAAUGGUUAUCUAGAAUAGCAUUAUCAAUACAGUGAAUAUAAAAAAACAGUAUUUGGUUCUACAAAGCAAGAAAUACUGUACCAACUAAACAAGACAUAUCCUCAAAGAUCAAGAUUUUAGUAUAAUUAUUAUACUUCAUAAAGAUAAGCAAAUACAUGUCGAGGGACUGUACCCUUUGAUCUCCUCAGGCUGAAUAAGAUAUGCCAUUCUGAGAACUGCCUGCAUAUUGACAGAUUACACCCAUCAUCUUAUGAAAAUAGAUAUGCAAUUCUAUUAGUCUUUAUCAUGAAAAAGAAACAAGUCCUCAGAUGCCUACCGUCUUCCUUUCCAUCAUUGUCCUUUGAGUGUGAAUCCUAUUACAGCAAAAUUACUCAUACGUCUGAAAGAAGUGUUAUGACAAGAAAGAAUUCUCCGCGCAUAUGCCAUGGAGUGGUGUGCAACAAGAGGGAAUCAGGGAAUCAUACCUGCUCGGGAGGCUCGGGGAAGCCUUGCUGCUCGGAGUCGACGGCGACGGCUCGAUGGAGACUACCAAAGUGCCGCGGCGGGUGGGAGACGGUGACGGAAGGGGCUGGACAGGUGCCGGGCGCGAAGCAGGCAUGGGAGCAGGGCAGCGCAGUGCGUGGCGGCGCGGGGGCCAUGUAGGGGUGGUGGGAGAGCGUCUUUCCACCAAAAUGAGCCUUUUUGUUAUGUCCAAGCAGUUUUCCAUUAUGAUAGUAGUUGUCUCAGACUAGAUGUACCUAUGGGAUGUCUGCCUUCGAGAAGAACUUAUGGAGGAACUUGAGCAGGAGAGCCUCAUCUUGGCUAUUCAGAUUAAUGACUCCAAGUCCUCCUUGCUGUUUGGGCAGGCAUACCAUAGGCCAGGCCGCUUUGGAUGGCUUUUUAGAUGAUAAGUCAGAUCCUCGCCAGAGGCAAUGCUUCCUAUAUUUGUCCAGUUGAGAGAUGAACCCCUUGUGAAGCUUCAGAGUGGCCAUAUGGAACAUUGGUGAGGACGAGAACACCGAAUUAAUCGGCUCUAGUUUGCCCCCGUGGGAUAGCAUGUUGAAGAUACCCCCUAUCCUUCUCUCCAGUUUCUUGAUUAGGGGUAGAAAUCCCUCAAUAUUAGGCUUUGUUGUUCCUAGUGGGAGUCCCAGGUAAGUGAAAGGAAAGCUUCCAAUCUGACAGUCAAAAACUGAUGAGAGUUGUUGUAGUUUUUCCUCAGGCGUGUUCAGGGGGACCAUAAAAGAUUUGUUGUAAUUGACCUUAAGUCCUGUUGAGUCUGCAAAAAGGUUUAGCAAAUGCUUUAGAUGCAGCAGCUGAACUGGGUCGGCUUCCAUGACCAGUAAGGUAUCAUGUGCGUAUUGGAUAACUAGGAAAUCUAGACCAGCUCUUUCAGGUAUUGGCAAUUGUAAGCUUCCUUCCUCUUUGGCCUCAUUCAAAAUAGAUUGAAGGAGGUCCGCUACUAGCACAAAGAGGAGUGGAGACAGCGGAUCCCCUUGCCUAACCCCUCGUCUGCAGUGGAAGACUUUCCCUGGUACUCCAUUGAGUAGAAUUGAGGAUGUUCCAGAACCGAAGAUGUCCUGAAUCCAUCCUAUCCAUCUAUUCCCAAAGCCCUUGUGUUUUAGGAUGUCCAAGAUGGCUUGGUGUUCUAUUCUGUCAAAUGCCUUCUCGAAGUCAAGCUUGAGAAUGAUGAGCUCCUUCUUGGAAGUCUUACAAAUGUGUAGAUAUUCAAAUGCUCAGGCUAAACAAUCUUGAAUAGAUCUGGAUUUUAUGAAACCAUAUUGGUUCCGAUGCAGUACUCUUAGGAUGAUCUUCUGAAGCCAUUCUGCUAGGAGCUUGGUUAUUUUCUUGAUGGUUGACUUAAGGAGGGAGAUAGCUUUGAAAUCUCCGACUUCCAUGGGGCAGUCUUUUUUGGGGAUGAGUGUGAUGUAGGAGGCAUUGAUAUUUGCACGCAUACUCUUUUGUCAUAGAACCCCUCACAUAAUUCAUAGAAGUCUUCAGCAAUUACCUGCUAGCAUGUCUUGAGGAAUUCCCCAUCGAAGCCAUCUGGGUAGGUGACUUGUUGCUUGGAAGAUCCUUGAUAAUUUGGUCAAUUUCUUCUUUUGAGAAGGAAGCUUCCAGCCAUUCUAAAUCCAGAACUGGUGUCAAAAGAGAGGGGAGUUCAAAGUACAUGUGGGUAAUUAAGAUCUCCCCAUCCUUUCUUUGUAAGCUUCCCAAAAGAGGUGAGCUUUAGCUUCAUGAUCAGAGAAAGACUACCCAUUGGCAUCUGUUAGUGAGGAGAUGUAAUUGAUCCUAUUUCUGACAGAGGCCCGAGCAUGAAAAAAUCUUGUACUUUCAUCCCCCAUUUUUUGCCCAGUUAAUAGAGCUUCUCUGCUGCCAAUAGACCUUCUGUUGAUGAAGAAGGCUAUUAAGAUGUGAUGAUAUGAUUUCCCUAAAGUUCCACUCCUGCAGGGUGAGGUCUCUGGUUUCUUCGAUGAUAUCUAAGAGCUGCAGGACAUCUUUUGUGGUCUGAAUUGUUUUGGCCAGACUGGGAAGUUGAGACUUCCAAGUCCUAAAAACCUUUCUCAUGUUUUUGAAUUUGGCUCCUAUGUUCUUUGCCUUGUCAGAGCUGGGAAAAGGUGACACCCAUCCUUGUUGGAGAAUGAAAGGGGAUUGAUCAUGCUCUAGCCAGUAGUUCUCAAAAUGGAAGACCUGUGGUGUUGGUAGGCUAUUAGAGAUCGACACAAUGCAAGGGAUAUGAUCCGACGAGUCCCUGGAUAACGAGGGAAAAAUGUGUUGGGAUAAGUUAUAAUCCAAGAGCUAGAGAUGAAAAAUCAGUCUAGUCUCUCCAGCAAGGGGAUGAUUUGUUUGUUGGACCAAGUGUACUUGCAACCUUUAAGGUGUAUCUCUGUUAACCUAAGCCUGCUAACUGCUUCCUUAAAGAGAAGCAUUUCCUUGACAUGUCCUCCCGAUUUGUUUCUGUCCUCUGGUUCCCUGAGAAGAUUGAAGUCCCCAACUAUUAGCCAUUUUUCAACCUCAGGCAUUUCUAUCCAUUUGAACCAAUCUAUAAAAGGCAUCUUCCCCUCUGGGGUGCAGGGAGCGUAAAUAUUAGCGAGGGUCCACCUGUCUCCUGAUAGCUUGCAUUGUUGUUUCGGAAGAUAGGCUGACCCUUGAGCUUCGAGCCAUUCCAUGCUAUUAGAGUGCCCCUCGAGUUACCAGUGGAUGGGAGGAAGUCAAACAGAUCUAGUUGGGGGGUGGCAGAAAUUCCAGAUGUAUCUUGUGUCAAAAGAUUCACGUUUAGUCUCAUGUAGACAAACCAUAUCGUAGUUGGACUCAGAAAUUUUACUUUUGACUACGUUCCAUCUUGUCUGGGAGUUGAUGCCCCUAACAUUCGAGGAUAACAUGUUCCAGGAUCUUUUUUGGUUCAUUUGGAAAUGGUGUGUGCUUGGUAAUACCUCACUGCCGGCUCAACAAACAGUGGCAAAAUAAGCGUGGAAAGGAUAAACCUUGAACCAAAAAGCCAAAAAGGAGGGGAUGAACCCCUCAAAUUCUUUGAAGCAACACAACCACAAUAAGGUAAAUCCCACAUUAACCAAACAGCAAAAUAACUAUUCCUAGGAAGUUUAAACCACCAACAUAGUGUGAUUUGCAACAUAAAGAUAAAUGAAAGAUACUUGUCUUCACUAAAACAGACCAGCUGGAAGAUCUAACCAUGUCCUAGAUCCCUAGUGCUUCUUGAUUGUAUCCCAGGCGUUGUCUGUUUUGGCCCGAUAUUUCUUCGCUUUCCCCUUACGCGGAAUAUCCACCGAGGCCUUUUCCUUUCCAUCUCCAAUGGUCUUCUGAGAGGUGGGCUUGGAGAUCAAUAGAUCAUCAGUGGUUCAGGCAGAGUCGAUGCCACACACCUGCCCACCUAGGUCUUGAAUGCUUGAAGAAGAGAGAGAUGGUGGCGCUGCAUUGCAAGCGAGGCAGUUUCUAUCCUGGCAAUUUUUUUUGCGAAAUCCUCCCCUUCUAUCUUUGAGCCUAUUGCUUCUCCCGAUGCUAGACUCAACUUCCAGCACAGCCCUUGCUCCCAAUCUAGCCCUAGCUUUCUUUGGAGCCUUUUGUUUUUCUAGCUCAGGUCCGAUUCCUUCAGAGGAGAAGAAGUACCAGUCUCCUCCUACUCAUUAAGAAAAAUAACCGGGCUGCUACUGAGACACAAAGAACGGAUGGCGAAGGCCGUCAUGGCAAAUGAAUCAGUGCAGCUUAGCAAUGCCUCCUUGGCUCUGGAGGCUAGGAACUUCUUGGCCGAAUCGAAGUGUUGGGGGGAUAGCAACACCACUAUGAAGAAAUUGGCCCAAUGUGUUGGUAUGUGAACCACCUACUCAAGAUAUCCUACAGGAGAGAAAACCUGGGCCCAAAUCAUGUAGACAUUUGGAUUUUGACUUGGAGCUGAGGCCCUGGGGUGGUAAUGUCCUUGAUGCUAGGUCCAUCUGUCAGAGGAACUGAUUGUCUGAGUCUGCCUAAGAGAAGGUCCAGGUCAUGUGUGUUUGGUUGAACUGGGGUGAGGACCAUGUUGACAUUAAGAUUAACCUAAAAAGGGGCCUCCUAGGCUUGAUUUGGCAAAAUGCCCUGCUGUCCUGGGGGGAUGCCAGGCAACCCCAGCACCACAUCCUGAUCCAUCUCCAUAUCAUUGAGUUGAGCCCCAUCUUGUUCUGCAUGGAAGUCCAUAUUUUGGCCCAAUGGGGGCACUGCAGCCACCACAUCAUCCAAUUCCAUAAUCUGAUUGUUGAGAACCGGUGGGUCUUGCACGAUAGCUUGUGGAACCCUUGAAUUAUAGAUCACCACUGGAAGAGGAUAAUUGUCAGGAGCUGAAGAGCUCGAGGAGUUGGUUGGAGGAGACAGGUUAAGGUCACUGGUGGAGGGAGAGCCUGCACUCCACUCUCAACGACAACUGUUGUAAUAUUCCAAAAAUUUGAAAUAUUAUCAUGGUUGUAAUUUUCUCAAAAAUUUGAAAACUUUAUGUAUGGAUGUGUGCGUGUUGCAAACUACUCUAUCUCUCUCUCCUAAAUUCUAAAUUUGAAUAUGUGUGGCAUGAUUUGGAGUUAUGGAUCUUAUUUGGAGUUCUUGUUUGAGUGUUGUAUAAAAGCAAACUCAAUCCCUAAAUUCAAAUUCAUAUUCCAAAUUCAAAUAUGAAAUCAGAUAAAAACAAAAGCAAAACAAACUCCCUCAGCCAGGCCAGCCUACCGGCCCAAAACUGCUUUAAGCUCAGCUUGCCACGCUAAGUAACCAGGCCGCCUUCGGCCCAACUUCAACCACUGGCCCGCCUACCCUCUUUCCUCUUUUCCAGCUGCAGCGGGCCACCCACCUUUCUUUCUCUUUUGGCCCAGCCCAAAGCAACCAGCCCUCUUAACCCUUUCCCCUUAGCUUCGUGGGCCGCUCUUCCUUUCCUUCAGGCCGGCUCGCAGGCCACUUUCUUCUUCCACAAACCGCCAGCCCAGCCCGUCUCGAUCUCCCCUCUCCUGUUCUUCUUCAACCUCGCACGGACGCAAAAGCUUCACGCACAGGUGCACUACCUCGCAGCUGGGGGUGGCGUGUCCCCUUUCUGGAGGCUUCCACCAGGCGCUUCUGCUACCCCUACUCCACCACCUAACCCCGCUCCCAGGGCCGUCAGAUGCGCCGCAACGGGCUCCAGGUGCGCAACCCUAGGAUCAACGUCCGGGCUACUCUAAGCCCCUCCACUGCCUUGGCCAGGCUAUAAAAUGGGGCUUUGGGCAUGCCCUAAGGCCAUCCCAUCCGCUCCAGGGGCUGCCUGUCCACCACCGCCACCCAGUUGAGAGGAGGGCCGAGUUGAGAAGAAGGGUUGGGAGGAGAAGGAGGAGGCCCUGUCGGAGGAGUCGUUGCCGUCCGCGGGAGAAAAAUGGCUCUGUCCAUGUGAAGUGCCGUCGCCAACUUCUUCCUCCUCGCCGCCGUCUACCUCGUCUACUCUGCCGCCACCUCUUCUUCCCCUUCACCGAGACAGCCUCGUAAGCCUCCAAGAUCUCACCUUUCCCCUCUCUCCUGACUACCUGAAACCCUAAAGCCAUGGCCUUUGUGCUACCCUUUGCCUGCUCCGCCUGUGGAAGCGCUUUGUCGCCACUAUCCUUGCACUUGAGCUCGCGUGCACCUCCUUGCUUGCUCUGGCCUCGCUACUUGCGCUGCUCGCCUGGCUUGCCUUUGCCGUUUUCGCGUGCGCCAACUCUGCUGCUUGCCUUUGCAUGCACCGCGCCCGCACACCGCUCGAUCGUGUGCCCACAUCCAACUAACGCGACGUCGCGCGAGGUUCGCGGUCACCGCGGCUGCUGGCUGCGGCAUCGUGACACUGGUUUGCGGUCACCGCCUGCGCGUCGCGCCGCACAGCGUGUUGUUCGCGCACCAUAGCUCGCCGCCUGCCCGCCGUGCGCGCUCCGCACCUCGCCGUGACACGCCACGGCGCGCCAACACUCGCCGCCGUCGUCGCAAGCCACGUGGCCACCCCAUCACCGCCAUGUGAUAGGUGGGGGCCCACCUGUGGGUCCGCUCGUGGGGCGUACCUUGUGGGGCCCACUGUUGACCUAUGGGGCCCAUGCGUUGACCGUUGACCAUUGACCCAGUAAUGCUUCUUUCUCCUCUUUGCAGGGUCCUCCUCGUAUGCAGUCCCUAUAAUGAAUUUGCAACAUGAGCAGUUGUACCUGAAUCAAUCCACCAAGUAUAUUUUGCAUAACUUAAAUACAAGGACUCAUCUACAAAUGUAAUAAGAUCCUCACCUCUAUAACACACAUGCUUCAGGAAAUCCACACAGCCUUUCUGGUAGUAUUCUUUCUUCUUGCACCACUUGCAAGUGUCCUUGUCCACCACCUCUUUAUGGUUUGAUCUUUGAUGGUGAUCAUACAUUGGAGCCUUUCCAUGUGCCUUAGAAAAAGAGGCGUUCCACUGAGGUUUCCCUUGUGGCUUAGAAUUCUAAAGAUUCCGCUUCUUGUUUUGCCUCAGGUAAUUGACAGUAUCACCGGGCGAACCCUUAAGCCUCUCUUCUUCUUGCACACACAUGGCAAUCAUCUUCUUAAUACCCCACUUUUCUGGCUAUGAGUUGUAAUUCACAGCAAAGGUCUCAAACUCUUUGGGCAGGGAGGUAAAGAUUAGAAUGGACAAUAAACUCUUUUGGAAGCUCCAUUUCCAUAGACUUAAGCUUGGAAGAUAUAUUGUUCAUUCUCAAUAUGUGAUCCCUUAUUCCACUGCCAAUAUACUUCAUAGUAACAAGCUUUCUUAUGAGAGUGCUUGCAUAUGCCUUUGAUGAUCCAGUAAACUGACUCUCCACAUUUGUCAAGUACUUCUUAGAUCUACAACAGGGACUUCCUAGAGGGGAGAGUGAGAGGAUGACCGACCGUCGGGCUUCAUCAGAGGACGCCAUGGCGGUGUUGGUGACGGUGACGUUGACGCAGAGGUUAGGUGUUGGCGGUGCUUCCCGCCACUGACAUUAGGUGUUGGCGGUGCUUCCCGCCACUGACACCAUCUCCAGUAGAUCAGCUAGAGUUUGUUGGUGGGUUUGGUGGGCACAGUGAAUCUUGGUUUGCGUGCCCUCGGCCUCCACCUUUCCUUUUAUUUGGCAAUGUGCGACGGGGCCCCACCAACCAUGACUGGUUGUGCGCCCCCGAUCAGGGCGCGAGAUAAGGCUCGAACUCGUCCGUUGGGGCGAGUCUGUUGGGAGAUCAAACUAACAAAUACAAGUGAGCGAGUGAGGGAGCAACACUUUAUCUUUGGAUAUGAUCCCAAAUUGCAUGCUUUUUUUUCCUAGGUGCAUAGUUGUAUGAUGCUUGAGCUAUAGCAUUGCCAAGUUCAUCACUGUUUCCCCUAUUACACAGGUAUUUUCUUCACAUCAAAUGGAUCCACUAGCCAUGCUAUUAUUUUUUUGUUGGAGAUCGAAAAGUUCUGUUGCAUUGAUUCAGAUUGAAUUUACUACAAGCUUAGAGGGUGAUCCUGAUUCGGGCGUGCAGCAGGCAAUCUUAUUUAUCCUAAUUUUAAGUUGUGUCUGCGUGCAAGAUAUGUUAAAGCAGCAAUAAGCUGCAUAGCCUAACAUUAAAUGCGCACUAUAUGUGCAGAAACUUAUAUUUUCACUUAAAGAUCACAGCGAUUAGGCUCGAGCUUGCAACUCAGAAAAUAGAGAGGCUGCAACAAGCGAUCAAAGGCCGCGUUAACACUCAGAAUAAGCUAUGCUCAGUCUAAACCCCCUCCACGCAAAAGGACGAAUGGCGGGGUGACAUUUUUCAAAUUGAAAAUUCAUCUUGUCCUUUCGCACCAAAGCUUUAGCCUCAGCCAAAACUAUCACAGCAACGCAAGAAGGUGACAUUUUUCAAAAAGGCAUCCUCACUCCCCUUUUUCCUCAGGUCCUUGCCGACGCGAGACUUUCUCACAGACUUCUUCACUUUCAAACUGGCCAACGCGCCGGCAGCCUUGAGUUCGGAUUUCAUCGCAACCGGGACAACUUUGGAGACAGGGGGCACGGAGGAUUUUGCAACCUCGCUCGAAGUGCCUUGUCCAAGCUUUUCUUUCUUCUUCUGAGCCUUGAGGCUGGAGGUCUUUAGUUUAGCUUUUUCAACCUCGAGCACGACGAUCGCUUGGUUGUCAUCCUUCUUUGAAGUCCCUGCCGCGACCUUAAGAGCGAUCCUCUCGACUUUCCUCUUUUUCCCUCUGCCACUGCCACCAGCCUGCUCCGAGCCUAUUGCGCUAGUUUCUCGCAUCCAUUUCAAAAUCUUACAAGGUUUGGGGUGAGGCGCAACCUCAACCUCUAGUUCUUCAAACACACGAUUGACCCGAAGCUCGUGUGCGACGAUCCCACGGGCCAAUGACAGCUAAAUCUUAGUGCAGGGGCCAAUAAUAUCAAUGUCAUGUUUCUGAACAUCAUCUGCAAAAAGACCGGGGUUGGCACCCUCGGGCAGCUCCACCCCGAAGCGAGGGUAAGGGAGUGGGCUAGUACUCCACGGAACCUCCUUCAGCACAAUCUCCAGCGGACACCACCCAUCAGAAAGGGGCCAAAUGUUAGUUGCCAGAAACUCUUCAAUGAAUCCCGCCCGGGGAUCAACUUCGAGGCUAGGAGGAAAGCGCCCUCGCGUUCAUUGACUACCUUGGACCUCGUAAAAGCAGAGGUAGUACUAAUGUCCAUAGGGCCUAAGGGAGCAUAGAAGGGAUAGAAAGGUCGGCUAAUACCAAACGCAUCGGCCAUAUCAAUCUUAAUAUAGAACUAGUAGCUUAGCCAGUCGUCUUCCCACCUAUUCCUCUAUGCAUAAGAAAGCACAAUCCUCUUGAUUCCUUGCUUCUCAUUGUUCUUCCUCCGAGCCGCGAAGCUACAGCACCCAAACUUUGUCUCAAAAAUACCUUCCUCGUCAUCAAACAUAACUCUCUUCCUCUGGAUAUGGAGUUCAAACAAUCUCGUGAAACCAUCGACAUCAAUGUGACCGCCAAAAGUACGCUGCACCCAAUAGAACUUGGACAGAGCAACAAAGGCAUUCGGAGUGAGAUGAUGAAGCCUUGCCUUGUAUUGGUCCAAGAUCAUAUGCAAUUCCUUGUCACACCAAAAUCUCAAUCCGACAAUGAAAAAAAUCCUUGAACACAAUAGCCUCGCCUACCCUAGGCGCUAGCACAUCUUCGUCACCAGGUGCCCUAGCGAAACCCUCGGGGAAGUAGCCCUUGUCAACAUAAUACUUUAUCAUGUUGUUGGAAACUAAAGACUUCUCGAACUGCAUGGUAGGGACGUAUACUUCCUUUACUGCCAUUAGCUCUAACGGAUCUGCCUCGACGCCUGUAAGGUCCUCUCUACUUUCGGAGCUACUCUCAGAGUCACCGCUGCCUGCGUUACCCUCGUCACCGUAGGUUAGCUUCGCGGCGUCCUCGAUGGCCUUAUCCACAUCCAGGUCUUCCUUAGCCUUGUUGGAAAGCCUAGUCUGUUCAGCAAACUCCUCUGAUGUCAUGGGCCUUGUGGUUCGCAUACUACAAGCCAGCUGCAAAGCAUCAAAACAUCAUCUCAGAAAUAAAAGCAAAGGAAAAACUCACAGUAAAAGAGAGACACAAAUAACAUCAUUACCUUCGAGAUUCUUGAGGCCAAGGACAACAGCAUACGCCACACGAACCUCAAAGCACGGAAGCAACGAGCGAAGCAGGAGUACAAAAGGUCUCAGCCGUGAGGGUAAAAACAAAAGCGACCUGCACCCCACCCCCCACCCUUUAUAGGAGCGUUAAAGGGCGCGAAACGGCGCCUAAAACCUCGAGCCAAAUAUGAAGGGUCAUCCAAUAGGAAAGCGACACAAUACACCAAAAAGGUAACCGUUGGCUCAUUUCUAACCGACGCUCGAGGGUGACAUUUUUUAGGAUCAGAUCGUUAAGUCGCGGGUUCGGUCGUCGGUGUCGAGCCUCGCCCACGAGGGGCUACUGUUGGGGAUUGUCCAAAAAAUAUGGUCACCCUUGAGGUCGUUUUGUUUACCAUGAUCAACUCAGCCCCGCAAAAUAAGUAGCCUCAGGUGAGGGUUCCUAACCUCGAGGAACAAAUCUGGCAUGAAAGAUAGCUCUAACCUCGCGACGCUGCCGCGAGGUCAGUCUCAAAGCCGGGAAACAAUUACUGAUUGUCAAGCACUGAUGAAGCUUACCCUUGAGCGCUCAAAGCUGACUCCGAGCGCCGAGUUGUCCACUAUCUUAUGCAGGGUCGUUGAAACAAGCCGAGGUUCACGGCGCGGAGGUGGGGUCUCUUUGGCCCGAGGCUAAGGUGGUCUUGGGCCAGAGGUCAAAGUCAUGGAGGUGCUAAAAACGUGGGAGCGUGAUUCGCGGGACUUGCUGAGAGCGUGAUUCGCGGGAUUGCCUGAACGCGUGGGAAGCAUGAUUAAAGGAGGAGACCAAGUCAUACAAGUUACCUCUUAAAAAGACUUCUAUGUAAAGCAUAUUCUAGUAACGUAGUGGGUGAGUAAGGAUAAUUGCGGAAUUUAAAGUGUCCUCCGAGAUACUAUAAGAAAGGAGAGCCCUACCCAAUGUAACGUUACGUUCAUUUUCAUGGAAUUGAAUCGCAGCAACUGAAACUUGUUUCCCAACAUCAGCACUGUUUCCCUAUAUUACACUUGUAUUUUCUGCACAUCAAAUGGAUAUGCACAUCAAAUGAGCUAUUAUUUCCGUUCGAAACCAAAAAGAUCGAUAUGUUGCAUUGAUUCAGAUUGAAUUUUACGCCAAGCUUACAUGGUGAUUCUGAUUGAAUUAUUUAUCCUAAUUUUUAUAUGGGGUUGCUGAAUCAGGCGAGCCCAUUAAUUAGUAACACAUCUUGAUGUGUCGGCGGGUCAACCGUGUUAACGUGCAUGCUACUUGCACAACUGUAUUAUACUCUCACGAUGGACAAAUUUUCUGCCUACAAAUAGCGCAUCUGCAUUGCUAUCCCAACAUGCACUUCUCCUCCUCUCCAUCUGAUCUCUUCCUAUAGCUAUAGCUGCAACAACUAGCUAGUCCUGAUCACCAUGGCUGCCGCGAUGCUCAAGAUGGCCAUUGUUGCCGCCUGCAUCGCGCUGGCCCUGCUCUCCAUGGGUCCGCCGGCGGCGAUGGCUGACAUCCAGGACGACUGCCGCGCGACUUGCCGUGGUCUCUGCGAUGGCUUCGGUACGAACACGUGCAAUAACAUCAUUGCCAUCGCCCCUGCUGUCCUGAACAAUAUCAACUUCUUCUUCACGACGUGCAAAGUGAGGGUCACUGGGCUGUGCGCGUCCUUCUGCGUCACUACCUGCAGCCUCAACACCGUGACGCCGGCCAGCCCGCGGCCACCACCAUGCAAGCCAUAAUUGGUCUAUGCGUAUUACUACAGCAUGAAUGUAAUUCAAGUCCCGGCCGUAGAUCCGGGUAUUUGCGUUUAAUUCUAAUUUCCCUUUGAUUGUUCCGGUUGUCGUGUCACACCUGCAUAUGUAAUUCAAGUCCAGUCAUGCAUUAUUGUGCACACCUGCAUAUGUAAUUUUAUUUGAAAAGGUUAUUACCUAUCUUGAGAAAUUUACGGCUAUUAUUUUUACCGCAAUAUAUUUACCUGCAUUGUACCUUCCAUCACAAUACUAUGGUUAAUUUUUCUAUUUCUCUAUCUUCUAUCUCUUCCCAAAAGUUUGAGCUGAUGUGCUCCUCCCUCCUCUCGGACACAAUUCCACUACUGGAUACUCCCUCCGUUUUUAUUUAUAAGGUGCACACACAUAUCAAGAUUCAAACUUUGCAAUCUUUGACCAAUAACGUGACCAUUAAUCUUUUAUUUGUAUAAUAUAAACUUUGUAUGGUUGGAUUCAAAAUCAAAUAUACUCUACUGUGAUUAUAAGUUUAUAAUCAUAAGUAAUAUCAUAUAAGAAAAAUGAAUGUCAUCAAAGUGUUAUUUAGAAGAUCGUGCCAAAUCAUACUAUACCUUAUAAAAAUAGAUGGAGGGAGUACUACCCUAACUGCAUUAAAUAGAUCGUUGAUGUUUCGCCACCAAAACCCCCAAUGUUGAUCUUCCACCACCAUGGCUAGAGGCACAACGCCACACAACCCCGCCACACAACCCCCACCCCACCCCCCACCCCCCCACUCCGUUGCCUCCAGCAGGCUAGCAUACGCCCAUGGUCUCCCCCUAAGCGUGCCCCUCAUCCAACCUGAACCCUAAACAUCACCAACAAAAAUUGGACAACAUAGCUACAACCCUCGACUGUAUGUGGUCGCAGAGGCUUGAUAUUUUUUUUCCACUUUCUAAAAAAACAAUAGCAAAAACAAUAGCAAACCCUGCCGAUCGUGAUAUGGACAGUCAGCAACCCUAUUUCUCCGAAUUUUCAUAUGCAGGGACUGGAUGACAGGUUCAUUAUAAACUCCCUCAGUCAAUGGUGCUCAUUAGAAAAUGUUACACAUGCUGGUACGCUGGUGUGUAUGCAUGUAAUAUCUCAUUAACUACUACAACGAAUGAAAUGCAUGCUCAUCCUACUGUAAUGCAUUCAAACGCUCUAAGGGCCUGUUUGUUUCCCUCCUGGAUUGUAUAAGCCGGAUUAUGGUUAAAGGGUAGGAGGAUAAAAGGUCAUCAUGGGACCACUAGGGGACCCCAAAUAAGCUAGCCUUUGGUAGCUUAUUUCAGAUUAUAUGUGGUCCCAAAAUGAUAUUUUACCAUAGUAUUCAAGACCCAUAAUCCGACUUAUAUAAUUUAGGUGGAUUAUAAUCCCAAACAAACAGGCCUAUACCUUCUAAUGCUCAUCACACUGCUUGCUGCGUCAGCCACGCUUGCAAACGUGCAUGCUACUUGCACCACGCUGCUCGUUAGUCAGCAGUUUGUAGCAGCCAUGCAUGUUAUCAUUUUCUAUCAACGAAUCUCAGGAGCAAGCAUACACGUACGUACGUGAUGGCACAAUUGUGUACAGCGGAUGCCUAUAUCUUGCUAGACUAAUAGGAGAGAGUACGUUUGGAAUGUCGAUGCUAAUCAUAGCGAUCAAAACGCGAUAGAAAAAAUUGAUAAAUCCUUCUUGUUCUUCUUUUUGGUCUCGACCAUUAUGAUUCCUUAUGGUAUUUGGAUGGAAUGAACUUGGGGAUAAGAGUGAGUGAGCGAGCAACACUUUAUCUUUGGAUAUGAUCCCAAGUUGCAUGCUUUUUUUUCCCAGGUGCAUAGUUGUAUGAUGCUUGAGCUAUAGCAUUGCCAAAUUCAUCACUGUUUCCCCUAUUACACUGGUAUUUUCUUCACAUCAAAUGGAUCCACUAGCCGAGCUAUUUUUUUUGUUGGAAAUCGAAAAGAUCUGUUGCAUUCAUUCAGAUUGAAUUUUACGACAAGCUUAGAGGUUGAUCCUGAUUCGGGCAGCAGGGCAAUCUUAUUUAUCCUAAUUUUUAUAUGGGGUUACUGAAUCAUUGCGAGCUCAUUAUGAACUGCCAGCAGUAGUCAACGGUACUCCUGCUAGCACCAAAUCUUUUAAUUCUAUUAUUGGUGUGGGUGUGGGUCAACCUGUUUACGUGUUGCAUGUGCGCUACUUGCAGAACUGUACAUGAACCGAGGGGGGAACGUUGUUGAAAGUCCAGUCAUUCCUCACAGACCAAAUGCUCCAGGUCAUCAGGAUAGUGAUCUCCAUGAAGAAGGGUACAUUCAGCUUGUGUUGGAUAGAGCUGAGUAUCCGGAGUGGAUGUCUGGUGGUAACCGUUGUUACUCCAAUGGAUGACCAACAGGUUUUUGCAAAGUUGCAUCUGAAAAAGAGAUGUGCCAUUGUCUCUCUUUUUUGAAGGAUGCAAUGCUCACAGGUAUAGGAUUCAAGGCUCAUUGUUUUCCUGCCUAGGAUAUCCUUGGUACUUAGUCUGUCUUUACUUAGCAGCUAGAAAAACACCUUAUCUUUCUUUUGGCGUUUCGACUUCCACAGCCAUCGCUGGAUUGGGUGGACACUUCUCAGGCCCAUCACGGCCUUGUAAGUUUUCGCAACUGAGAAGUGGGGGCUGCCCCAGAUGUAGGUCUACUGAUCUCUAUCCUGCUGAGUGACAACAUUCCUCAUUCUAUUUUGCAGAGUAAGUAGCUGUUGAUGGGCUUCUCCGAGAGUGGCAGAUGGAAGUUGUGAGAUAGGGAAGGUCUCCUAAUGGCUUCUUUGUAUGUGAUUAGCUUGUUUUUAGCGAACGAAGAGAGCUGGGGAAAUUCCAGGGAGAGAACCUGCUCGUUCCAUGUGUCCAUCCAGAAUAAGAUAGUACAACCAUCCGAAACCCAUACUAAGGCUGUCUAGUAAUUUAACUACGUCUUUCCACCAAAAUGAGCCUUUUUGUUUAUGUCCAAGCAGUUUUCCAUUAUGAUAGUAGUUGUCUCAGACUAGAUGUACCUAUGGGAUGUCUGCCUUCGUGAAGAACUUAUGGAGGAACUUGAGCAGGAGAUCCUCAUUUUGGCUAUUCAGACUAAUGACUCCAAGUCCUCCUUGCUGUUUGGGCAGGCAUACCAUAGGCCAGGCCACUUUGGAUGGCUUUUUAGAUGAUAAGUCAGAUCCUCGCCAGAGGCAAUGCUUCCUGUAUUUCAGUUGAGAGAUGAACCCCUUGUGAAGCUUCAGAGUGGCCAUAUGGAACAUUGGUGAGGCCGAGAACACCGAAUUAACCAGCUCUAGUUUGCCCCCGUGGGAUAUCAUGUUGGAGAUACCACCUAUCCUUCUCUCCACUUUCCUGAUUAGGGGUAGAAAUUCCUCAAUAUUAGGCUUUGUUGUUCCUAGUGGGAGUCCUAGGUAAGUGAAAGGAAAACUUCCAACCUGACAGUCAAAAACUGAUGAGAGUUGUUGUACUUUUUCCUCAGGAGUGUUCAGGGGGACCAUAACAGAUUUGUUGUAAUUGACCUUAAGUCCUGUUGAGUCUGCAAAAAGGUUUAGCAAAUGCUUUAGAUGCAGUAGCUGAACUGGGUCGGCUUCCAUGACCAGUAAGGUAUCAUGUGCUUAUUGGAUAACUAGGAAAUCUAGACCAGCUCUUUCAGGUAUUGGCAAUUGUAAGCUUCCUUCCUCUUUGGCCUUAUUCAAAAUAGAUUGAAGGAGGUCCACUACUAGCACAAAGAGGAGUGGAGACAGUGGAUCCCCUUGCCUGACCCCUCGUCUGCAGUGGAAGACUUUCCCUGAUACUUCAUUGAGUAGAAAUAAGGAUGUUCCAGAACCGAGGAUGUCCUUAAUCCAUCCUAUCCAUCUAUACCCAAAGCCCUUGUGUUUUAGGAUGUCCAAUAUGGCUUGGUGUUCUAUUCUAUCAAAUGCCUUCUCAAAGUCAAGCUUGAGAAUGAUGAGCUCCUUCUUGGAAGUCUUACAAAUGUGUAGAUAUUUAAAUGCUUAGGCUAAACAAUCUUGAAUAGAUCUGGAUUUUAUGAAACCAUAUUGGUUCUGAUGCAGUAGUCUUAGGAUGAUCUUCUGAAGCCAUUCUAUUAGGAGCUUGGUUAUUAUCUUGAUGGUUAAGCUAAGGAGGGAGAUAGGUUUGAAAUCUCCGACUUCCAUGGGGCAGUCUUUUUUGGGGAUGAGUGUGAUGUAGGAGGCAUUGAUAUUUGCACGCAUACUCUUUUGUCAUAGAACCCCUCACAUAAUUCAUAGAAGUCUUCAGCAAUUACCUGCUAGCAUGUCUUGAGGAAUUCCCCAUUGAAGCCAUCUGGGCCAGGUGACUUGUUGCUUGGAAGAUCCUUGAUAAUUUGGUCAAUUUCUUCUUUUGAGAAGGGAGCUUCCAGCAAUUCUAAAUCCAGAACUGGUGUCAAAAGAGAGGGGAGUUCAAAGUACAUGUGGGUAAAUAAGAUCUCCCCAUCCUUUCUUUGUAAGCUUCCCAAAAGAGGCGAGCUUUAGCUUCAUGAUCGGAGAAAGACUACCCAUUGGCAUUUGUUAGUGAGGAGAUGUAAUUGAUCCUAUUUCUGACAGAGGCCCAAGCAUGAAAAAAUCUUGUACUUUCAUCCCCCAUUUUUUGCCCAGUUAAUAGAGCUUCUCUGCUGCCAAUAGACCUUCUGUUGAUGAAGAAGGCUAUUAAGAUCUGAUGAUAUGAUUUCCCUAAAGUUCCACUCCUGCAGGGUGAGGUCUCUGGUUUCUUCGAUGAUAUCUAAGAGCUGCAGGACAUCUUUUGUGGUCUGAAUUGUUUUGGCCAAACUGGGAAGUUGAGACUUCCAAGUCCUGAAAACCUUUCUCAUGUUUUUGAAUUUGGCUCCUAUGUUCUUUGCCUUGUCAGAGCUGGGAAAAGGUGACACCCAUCCUUGUUGGAGAAUGAAAGGGGAUUGAUCAUGCUCUAGCCAGUAGUUCUCAAAACGGAAGACCUGUGGUGUUGGUAGGCUAUUAGAGAUCGACACAAUGCAAGGGAUAUGAUCCGACGAGUCCCUAGUCUUUAAGCCUAUUGCUUCUCCCGACGCUAGACUCAACUUCCAGCACAGCCCUUGCUCCCAAUCUGGCAUUGGCUUUCUUUGGAGCCUUUUGUUCUUCUAGCUCAGGGUCUGAUUCCUUCAGAGGAGAAGAAGUACCAGUCUCCUCCUACUCAUUAAGACAAAUAACCGGGCUGCUACUAGGGCACAAAGAGUGGAUGGCGAAGGCCAUCAUGGCAGAUAAAUCAAUGCAACUUAGCAGUGCCUCCUUGGCUCUGGAGGCUAGGAACUUCUUGGCCCAAUCGAAUUGUUGGGGGGAUAGCAACACCACUAUGAAGAAAUCGGCCCAAUGUGUUGGUAUGUGAACCACCUGCUCAGGAUAUCCUAUAGGAGAGAAAAACUGGGCCCAAAUCCUGUAGACAUUUGGAUUUUGACAUGGAGCUGAGGCCCUGGGAGUGGUAAUGUCCUUGAUGCUAGGUCCAUCUAUCACAGGAAUUGAUUGUCUGAGUCUGCCUAAGAGAAGGUCCAGGUCAUGUGUGUUUGGCUGAACUUGGGUGACUACCAUGUUGACAUUAAGAUUAACCUGAAAAGGGGCCUCCUGGGCUUGAUUUGGCAAAAUACCCUGCUGUCCUAGGGGGAUGGCAGGCAACCCCAGCACCACAUCCUGAUCCAUCUCCAUAUCAUUGAGUUGAGCCCCAGCUUGUUCUGCAUGGAAGUCCAUAUUUUGGCCCAAUGGGGGCACUGCAGCCACCACAUCAUCCAAUUCCAUAAUCUGAUUGUUGAGAACCGGUGGGUCUUGCACGAUCACCACUGGAAGAGGAGCUGAAGAGCUCGAGGAGUUGGUUGGAGGAGACAGGUUAAGGUCACCGGCGGAGGGAGAGCCCGCACUCCACUCUCAACCACAACUGUUGUAAUAUUCCAAAAAUUUGAAAUAUUAUCAUGGUUGUAAUUUUCUCAAAAAUUUGAAAACAGUAUGUAUGGACGUGUGCGAGUUGCAAACUACUCUAUCUCUCUCUCUCCUAAAUUCUAAAUUUCAAUAUGUGUGGCAUGAUUUGGAGUUAUGGAUCUUAUUUGGAGUUCUUGUUCGAGUGUUGUAUAAACGCAAACUCAAUCCCUAAAUUCAAUUUCAUAUUCCAAAUUCAAAUAUGAAAUCAGAUAAAAACAAAAGCAAAGCAAACUCCCUCAGCCAGGCCAGCCUACCAGCCCAAAACUGCUUUCAGCUCAACUUGCCACGCUAAGUAACCAGGCCACCUUCGGCCCAACUUCAACCGCUGGCCCGCCUACCCCCUUUCCUCUUUUCCAGCAACAGCGGGCCACCCACCUUUCUUUCUCUUUUCGCCCAGCCCAAAGCAACCAGCCCGCUUAACCCUUUCCCCUUAGCUUCGUGGGCCGCUCUUCCUUUCCUUCAGGCCGGCCCGCAGGCCACUUUCUCCUUCCACAAACCGCCAACCCAGCCCGUCUCGACCUCCCCUCUCCUAUUCUUCUUCAACCUCGCACGGACGCAAAAGCGUCGCGCGCAGGUGCACUACCUCGCGGCUGGGGGUGGCGUGUCCCGCUUCUGGAGGCUUCCACCAGGCGCUUCUGCUACCCCUACUCCGCCACCUACCCCCGCUCCCAGGGCCGUCGGAUGCACCGCAACAGGCUCCAGGUGCGUAACCCUAGGAUCAACGGCCAGGAAACUCUAUGACCCUCCACUGCCUUGGCCAAGCUAUAAAAUGGGGCUUUGGGCGUGCCCUAAGGCCAUCCCAUCCGCUCCGAGGGCUGCCUGUCCACCACCGCCACCCAGUUGAGAGGAGGGCCGAGUUGAGAAGAAGGGUUGGGAGGAGAAGGAGGAGGCCCUGUCGGAGGAGUCGCUGCCAUCCGCGGGAGGAAUAAGGCGCCGUCCGAGGGAGUACCUGCGCGAGAAGAAGGCACCGUCCGAGGGAGCUCCAGCGAAGAAGGAGGCGCCGUCCAUGUGAAGCGUCGUCGCCAAUUUCUUCCUCCUCACCACCGUCUACCUCAUCUACUCCACCACCACCUCUUCUUCCCCUUCACCGAGACAGCCUCGUAAGCCUCCAAUAUCUCACCUUUCCCCUCUCCUGACUACCUGAAACCCUAAAGCCAUGGCCUUUGUGCUACCCUUUGCCUGCUCCGCCCGUGGAAGCGCUUGUCGCCACUGUCCUUGCAUUUGAGCUCGCGUGCACCUCCUUGCUUGCUCGCCCCUCACUACUUGCGCUGCUCGCCCGGCUUGCCUUGGCCGUUUUCGCGUGCGCCAACUCUGUUGCUUGCCUUUGCAUGCACCCGCCCGCGCACCGCUGGGUCGUGUGCCCGCGUCUAACCGACGCAACGUCGCGCGAGGUUCGCGGUCACCACGGCCGCUGGCUGCGACAUCGUGAUGCCGUUCGCGGUCACCGCCUGCGCGUCACGUGGCACAGCGCAUCGUUCGUGCACCGCACUCGCCGCCUGCCCGCUGUGCGGGCUUCGCAGCUCGCCGUGACACGCCACGGCGCAGCAGCACUCGCCGUCGCCAUCACAAGCCACGUGGCCGCCCCGUCAGCGCCAUGUGGCAGGUGGGGGCCCACUUGUGGGUCCGCCCAUGGGGCAUACCUAUGGGGCCCACCGUUGACCAGUGGGGUCGAUGCGUUGACCGUUGACCAUUGACCCAGUAAUGCUUCUUUCUCCUCUUUGCAGGGUCCUCCUCGUAUGCAAUCCCUAUAAUGAAUUUGCAACAUGAGCAGUUGUACCUGAAUCAAUCCACCAAGUAUAUUUUGCAUAACUUAAAUACAAGGACUCAUCUACAAAUGUAAUAAGAUCCUCACCUCUAUAACACACAUGCUUCAGGAAAUCCACACAGCCUUUCUGGUAGUAUUCUUUCUUCUUGCACUACUUGCAAGUGUCCUUGUCCACCACCUCUUCAUGGUUUGAUCUUUGAUGGUGAUCAUACAUUGGAGCCUUUCCAUGUGCCUUAGAAAAAGAGGUGUUCCACUGAGGUUUCCCUUGUGGCUUAGAAUUCUAAAGAUUCCGCUUCUUGUUUUGCCUCAGGUAAUUGAUAGUAUCACCGGACGAACCCUUAGGCCUCUCUUCUUCUUGCACACACAUGGCAAUCAUCUUCUUAAUACCCCACUUUUCUGGCUAUGAGUUGUAAUUCACAGCAAAGGUCUCAAACUCUUUGGGCAGUGAGGUAAAGAUUAGAAUGGACUAAAAACUCUUCUAGAAGCUCCAUUUCCAUAUACUUAAGCUUGGAAGACAUAUUGUUCAUUCUCAAUAUGUGAUCCCUUAUUCCACUACCAAUAUACUUCAUAGUAACAAGCUUUCUUAUGAGAGUGCUUGCAUAUGCCUAUGAAGAUCCAGUAAAUUGACUCUCCACAUUUGUCAAUUACUCCUUAGAUCUACAACAGGGACUUCCUAGAGGGGAGAGUGAGAGGAUGACCGACCGUCGGGCUUCAUCAGAGAACGCCAUGGCGGUGUUGGUGACGGCGACGUUGACACAGAGGUUAGGUGUUGGCGGUGCUUCCCGCCGCUGACAGCGUCUCCAGUAGAUCAGCUAGGGUUUGUUGGUGGGUUUGGUGGGCACAGUGAACCUUGGUUUGCGUGCCCUCAGCUCCCACCUUUCCUUUUAUUUGGCGCUGUGUGACGGGGCCCCACCAACCAUGACUGGUUGUGCGCCCCCGAUCAGGGCACGAGAUAAGGCUCGGACUCGUCCGUUGGGGCAAGUCCGUUGGUAGAUCAAACUAACAAAUACAAGUGAGCGAGUGAGCGAGCAACACUUUAUCUUUGGAUAUGAUCCCAAAUUGCAUGCUUUUUUUUCCUAGGUGCAUAGUUGUAUGAUGCUUGAGCUAUAGCAUUGCCAAAUUCAUCACUGUUUCCCCUAUUACACAGGUAUUUUCUUCACAUCAAAUGGAUCCACUAGCCAAGUUAUUAUUUUUUUGUUGGAGAUCGAAAAGAUCUGUUGCAUUGAUUCAGAUUGAAUUUACUACAAGCUUAGAGGGUGAUCCUGAUUCGGGCGUGCAGCAGGCAAUCUUAUUUAUCCUAAUUUUAACUUGUGUCUCCGUGCAAGAUAUGUUAAAGCAGCAAUAAGCUGCUUAGCCUGGCAUUAAAUAUGCACUAUAUGUGCAGAAACUUAUAUUUUCACUCAAAGAUCACAGCGAUUAGGCUCGAGCUUGCAACUCAGAAAAUAGAGAGGCUGCAACAAGCGAUCAAAGGCUGCGAUAACACUCAGAAUAAGCUAUGCUCAGUCUAAACCCCCUCCGUGCAAAAGGACGAAUGACAGGGUGACAUUUUACAAAUUGAAAAUUCAUCUUGUCCUUUCGCACGAAGGCUUUAGCCUCAGCCAAAACUAUUGCAGCAACGCAAGAAGGUGACAUUUUUCAAAAAGGCAUCCUCACUCCCCUUUUUCCUCAGGUCCUUGCCGACGCGAGACUUUCUCACAGACUUCUUCACUUUCAAACUAGCCAACGCGACGGCAGCCUUGCGUUCGGAUUUCAUCGCAACCGGGACAACUUUGGAGACAGGGGGCACGGAGGAUUUUGCAACCUCGCUCGAAGUGCCUUGUCCAAGCUUUUCUUUCUUCUUCUGAGCCUUGAGGCUGGAGGUCUUUAGUUUCGCUUUUUCAACCUCGAGCAUGACGAUCGCUUGGUUGUCAUCCUUCUUCGAAGUCCCUGCCGCGACCUUAGGAACGAUCCUCUCGACUUUCCUCUUUUUCCCUCUGCCACUGCCACCAGCCUGCUCCAAGCCUAUUGCGCUAGUUUCUCGCAUCCAUUUCAAAAUCUUACAAGGUUUGGGGUGAGGCGCAACCUCAACCCCAAGUUCUUCAAACACAUGAUUGACCCGAAGCUCGUGUGCGACGAUCCCGCGGGCCGAUGACAGCUCAGUCUUAGUGCAAGGGCCAAUAAUAUCAAUGUCAUAUCUCUCAACAUCAUCUGCAAAAAGACCAGGGUUGGCACCCUCGGGCAGCUCCACCCCGAAGUGAGGGUAAGGGAGUGGGCUAGUACUCCACGGAACCUCCUUCGGCACAAUCUCCAGCGGACACCACCCAUCAGAAAGGGGCUAGAUGUUAGCUGCCAGAAACUCUUCAACGAGAUCCCGCCCGGGGAUCAACUUCGAGGCUAGGAGGAAAGCGCCCUCACGUUCCUUGACUACCUUGGACCUUGUAAAAGCAGAGGUAGUACUAAUGUCCAUAGGGCCUAAGGGAGCAUAGAAGGGAUAGAAAGGUCGGCUGAUACCAAACGCAUCAGCCAUGUCAACCUUAAUAUAGAACCAGUAGCUUAGCCAAUCGUCUUCCCACCUAUUCCUCUAUGCAUAAGAAAGCUCAAUCCUCUUGAUUCCUUGCUUCUCAUUGUUCUUCCUCCGAGUCGCGAAGCUACAGCACCCAAACUGUGUCUCAAAAAUACCUUCCUCGACAUCGAACAUAACUCUCUUCCUCUGGAUAUGGAGUUCAAACAACCUCGCGAACCCAUCAACAUCAAUGUGACUGCCAAAUGUACGCUGCACCCAAUAGAACUUGGACAGAGCAACAAAGGCAUUCGGAGUGAGAUGACGAAGCCUUGCCUUGUAUUGGUCCAAGAUCGUAUGCAAUUCCUUGUCACACGAAAAUCUCAAUCCGACAAUGAAAAAAAUCCUUGAACACAAUAGCCUCGCCUACCCUAGGCGCCAGCACAUCUUCGUCACCAGGUGCCCUAGCAACACCCUCGGGGAAGUAGCCCUUGUCAACGUAAAACAUUAUCAUGUUGUUGGAAACCAAAGACUUCUCGAACUACAUGGUAGGGACGUAUACUUCCUUUGCUUCCAUUAGCUCUGACCGAUCAGCCUCGACGCCUGUAAGGUCCUCUCUACUUUCAGAGCUACUCUCGGAGUCACCACUGCCCGCGUUACCCUCGUCACCGUAGGUUAGCUUCGCGGCGUCCUCGAUGGCCUUAUCCACAUCUAGGCCUUCCUCAACCUUGUUGGAAAGCCUAGUCUGUUCAGCAAACUCCUCUGAUGUCAUGGGCCUUGUGGUUCGCAUACUACAAGCCAGCUGCAAAGCAUCAAAACAUCAUCUCAGAAAUAAAAGCAAAGGAAAAACUCACACUAAAAGAGAGACACAAAUAACAUCGUUACCUUCGAGAUCCUUGAGGCCAAGGAAAACAACAUAUGACACAUGAAUCUCAAAGCACGGAAGCAACGAGCAAAGCAGGAGCGCAAAAGGUCUCAGCCGUGAGUGUAAAAACAAAAGCGACCCACACCCCCCCCCCACCCUUUAUAGGCACGGUAAAGGGCGUGAAACGGCACCUAAAACCUCGAGCCGAAUACGAAGGGUCAUCCAAUAGGAAAGCGACACAUUACACCAAAAAGGUAACCGUUGGCCCAUUUCUAACCAACGCUCGAGGGUGACAUUUUUUAGGAUAAGAUCCUUAAGUCGCGGGUUCGGUCAUCGGUGUCGUGCCUCGCCCACGAGGGGCUACUGUUGGGGAUUGUCCAAAAAAGAUGGUCACCCUUGAGGUCAUUUUGAUAACCAUGAUCAACUCAGCCCCACAAAAUAAGUAGCCUCGGGCGAGAGUUCCUAACCUCGAGGAACAAAUCUGGCAUGAAAGACAGUUCUAACCUCGCAACGCUGCCGCAAGGUCAGUCUCGAAGCUAGGAAACAAUUACUGAUUGUCAAGCACUAAUCAAGCUUACCCUUGAGUGCUCAAAGAUGACUCCGAGCGCCGAGUUGUCCACUAUCUUAUGUAGUGUCGUUGAAACAAGCCGUGGUUCACGGUGCGGAGGUGGGGUCUCUUUGGCCCGAGGCUAAGGUGGUCUCGGGCCAGAGGUCAAAGUCAUGGAGGUGCUGAAAACGUGGGAGCGUGAUUCGCGGGACUUGCUCAGAGCGUGAUUCGCAGGAUUGCUGAAGGCGUGGGAAGCAUGAUUAAAGGAGGAGACCAAGUCAUACAAGUUACCUCUUAAAAAGACCUCUAUGUAAAGCAUAUUCUAGUAACGUAGUGGGUGAGUAAGGAUAAUCGCGGAAUUUAAAGUGUCCUCCGAGAUACUAUAAAAAGGGAGAGCCCUGUAACGUUACGUUCAUUUUCAUGGAAUUGAAUCGCAGCAACUGAAACUUUCAGUUGUUUCCCAACAUCAGCAGUGUUUCCCUAUAUUACACUUGUAUUUUCUGCACAUCAAAUGGAUAUGCACAUCAAAUGAGCUAUUAUUUCCGUUCGAAACCAAAAAGAUCGAUAUGUUGCAUUGAUUCAGAUUGAAUUUUACGCCAAGCUUAGAUGGUGAUUCUGAUGAAUUAUUUCUCCUAAUUUUUAUAUGGGGUUGCUGAAUCAGGCGAGCCCAUUAAUUAGUAACACAUCUUGUCGGCGGGUCAACCGUGUUAACGUGCAUGCUACUUGCACAACUGUAUUAUACUCUCACGAUGGACAAAUUUUCUGCCUACAAAUAGCGCAUCUGCAUUGCUAUCCCAACAUGCACUUCUCCUCCUCUCCGAUCUCUUCCUAUAGCUAUAGCUGCAACAACUAGCUAGUCCUGAUCACCAUGGCUGCCGCGAUGCUCAAGAUGGCCAUUGUUGCCGCCUGCAUCGCGCUGGCCCUGCUCUCCAUGGGUCCGCCGGCGGCGAUGGCUGACAUCCAGGACGACUGCCGCGCGACUUGCCGUGGUCUCUGCGAUGGCUUCGGUACGAACACGUGCAAUAACAUCAUUGCCAUCGCCCCUGCUGUCCUGAACAAUAUCAACUUCUUCUUCACGACGUGCAAAGUGAGGGUCACUGGGCUGUGCGCGUCCUUCUGCGUCACUACCUGCAGCCUCAACACCGUGACGCCGGCCAGCCCGCCGCCACCACCAUGCAAGCCAUAAUUGGUCUAUGCGUAUUACUACAGCAUGAAUGUAAUUCAAGUCCCGGCCGUAGAUCCGGGUAUUUGCGUUUAAUUCUAAUUUCCCUUUGAUUGUUCCGGUUGUCGUGUCACACCUGCAUAUGUAAUUCAAGUCCAGUCAUGCAUUAUUGUGCACACCUGCAUAUGUAAUUUUAUUUGAAAAGGUUAUUACCUAUCUUGAGAAAUUUACGGCUAUUAUUUUUACCGCGAUAUAUUUACCUGCAUUGUACCUUCCAUCACAAUACUAUGGUUAAUUUUUCUAUUUCUCUAUCUUCUAUCUCUUCCCAAAAGUUUGAGCUGAUGUGCUCCUCCCUCCUCUCGGACACAAUUCCACUACUGGAUACUCCCUCCGUUUUUAUUUAUAAGGUGCACACACAUAUCAAGAUUCAAACUUUGCAAUCUUUGACCAAUAACGUGACCAUUAAUUUUUUAUUUGUAUAAUAUAACUUUGUAUGGUUGGAUUCAAAAUCAAAUAUACUCUAUUGUGAUUAUAAGUUUAUAAUCAUAAAUAAUAUAAUAUAAGAAAAAUGAAUGUCAUCAAAGUGUUAUUUAGAAGAUCGUACCAAAUCAUACUAUGCCUUAUAAAAAUAGAUGGAGUGAGUACUACCCUAACUGCAUUAAAUAGAUCGUUGAUGUUUUGCCACCAAAACCCCCAAUGUUGAUCUUCCACCACCAUAGCUAGAGGCACAACGCCACACAACCCCCCCCCCUCCUACUCUGUUGCCUCCAGCAGGCUAGCAUACGCGCGCCCAUGGUCUCCCCCUAAGCGUGCCCCUUAUCCAACCUGAACCCUAAACAUCGCCAACAAAAAUUGGACAACAUAGCUAGAACCCUCAACUGUAUGUGGUCCCAGAGGCUGGAUAUUUUUUUCCACUUUCUAAAGAAACAAUGGCAAACCCUACCGAUCGUGAUAUGGACAGUCAGCAACCCUAUUUCUCCGAAUUUUCAUAUGCAGGGACUGGAUGACAACUUCAUUAUAAACUCCCUCAGUCAAUGGAGCUCAUUAGAAAAUGUUAUACAUACUGGUACGCUGGUGUGUGUGCAUGUAAUAUCUCAUUAACUACUACAAUGAGGUGUAGAAGUUGUGAGGGGCAGCCUUCCAUAAUAAUGAGAGUGUCAUUAGCAUAUUGUAUAAUGGGAAAGUCUUGGCUAUAGUUUACUUGUAUUGGAAGAUGUAAGUGACCCUGUGUUUUUGCAUGGUUCAGAAGAGUUUGAAGCAGAUCAGCACCAAGGACAAAAAGAAGGGGUGAGAGAGGGUCACCCUGUCUGACUCCCCUCUUACAGAUGAACCUUUUCCCUGGAACCCCAUUCAGAAGGAUGGAGGAAGUCCCUAACUCAAAAAUACGCCCCAUCCAUUGCAACCAUCUUGGUCCAAAACCCUUGUGCUUCAUGAUCGCCAUCAUGGCUAUGUGUUCAAUUGUAUCAAAAGCUUUCUCAAAAUCCAAUUUGAGAAUGACAAUCUCUUUUUUAGAUUUAUGACACAGGUAUAAGUAUUCAAAGGCCCAAGCAAGGCAAUCUUGAAUGGUUCUUGUCUUAAUAAAGUCAUAUUGGUUUUUGUGUACUAGACCAGUGAUCAACUGUUGCAGCCUAUUAGCCAGGAGCUUGGUGAGCAGCUUUACAGAAUUGUUGAGCAAAGAGAUUGGUCUGUAGUCUACUAUAGAUGCAGCUCCAUCAAUCUUAGCUAUUAAGGUAAUAUAAGAUCCAUUAAUACUUUGUUGGCAAAUAUCACCCGCAUGAAAGGCUUGGCAAAGAUCAUAAAAUCUUCCUUAAUAAUAUGCCAGCAUCUUUUGAUGAAUGUGGUGUUAAACCCAUCAGGGCCAGGAGCUUUAUCAUUUGGUAAAUCUUUAAUGACUGCAUCAAUUUCUUCAUGUGUAAAUGGUUCUUCCAGGCAGUGGAGAUUAUCAGCUAAUUGUAGCAAUUGUUGUAGAUCAAAGGCCAUAGGCUGUGGAUCUGAGGUCCCUAGUCUGGCUUUGAAAGCUUCCCGUAGCAGGGUUUCUUUAAUGUGAUUAUUAUCUUGGGGAAUACCAUUGCUGUCAGUGAUGGACUUGAUGAAGUUCUUCCUAUGCCUUAUAGUAGCGUUUGCAUGAAAAAAAUUUGUAGAUUCAUCUCCAAAUUUUACCCACUUUAUAGAUCCACGUUGCUUCCAGUAGGUAUUCUGUAACUGAAGUAGGAACUGUAAUUUGUUCUGCAGAAGAUCCUUAAAGUUCCAUUCAGCCAAAGUGAGGUCUCUACUUUCCUCAAUUAGUUCCAGAAAGGAUAGAGUCAGCUUAACAUUAUGAAUAAGGGACUUCAGAGAGGGUAACUGUGCUUGCCAGGCUCUAAGAACUCGGGGGAGGUUUUUGAAUUUUGCAGUAAUCAUUUUUGCUUUGUCAGUUACAGUAACUGGAAUAGACCACCCAUGAGAUACAACAUCCAUGAACUGCUCAUGUGCAACCAAUAAUUUUCAAAUCUAAAUACUUUACUCUUGGGGAUUUCGGUGUCAAUUCGUGAUGACACAGGGCGAAUGAUCUGAGGUUUCCAUCACAAGUGGAUAUGCCAUGGUGUUUGGAUAAGAUAGGGACCAAGAGCUGGACGUAAAGAACCAAUCUAACCUUUCCAACAAGGGAAGUUGCUGUUUAUUUGACCAAGUGAAUUGUUUUGAUUUGAAAGGAAUUUCCACAAGGCCAAGAGCACUAAUGGCCUCAUUGAACAUGAUCAUUUCUGCUGAGUUGCCCCCAGGACGAUUUCUGUUUGAAGGAUCUCUCAUUAGAUUAAAAUCACCAAGAAUGAGCCAAUCCAUAGAGUCAGGCAUUUGGAUGUUCUUUAACCACUGAACAAAUAUUUUUUUCUCCGCUUCUGUGCAAGGGCCAUAAAUAUUGGUAAGGACCCAUUCAUUGUCAGACAAAGUGGAAGAAAAUUUCACAGACAAGGCGUAAUUAUUACUAAAGACCAGUUCACCAUCAAAGAACCUUGAAUUCCAGAUAACUGCCAAUCCGCCAGAAGCACCUUGGGAGGGCGAAAAUUCAAAUUUGUCAAAAGAAGGAGGGCAGAACUUUCUGAGGAACAUUGUAUCAAGUUGUUCCCUUUUAGUUUCUUGUAAACAGAUCAUGUGACAAUGACUUUCAAUAAUUUUAUCUCUAAUGGAAUUACAUUUCUUAUCAGAAUUAAUCCCCCUUACAUUCCAACACAGAAUAUUCCAGGUUCUCUUGCUAUGAUUGUGAUUCAUAGAUGAUGGAAUAUAUAAAAAUAAACAUGGUAUUGAUGAGCACCAUCACAACCAGCAUCACAAGUAACAAAAGACAAUUCCAACCACAGUGUUUCAGAGUCAUAACAUGCUAAAAAUUUUAUAACAAAGUAUCUCAGAUAGUUCAAGACUGAAAACCAAGCAGCCCCAAUUCCUUCACUGCUUCUUGGGAUUUUUCUUAAUAUUUUUCGGUGCAUCAUUAUCAUGGUCACCAUUUUUCUUCUUGGGCAGCUUCUCUCCUCCACCAGGAGGAGCUGCGGGCUUCUUCUUCUGUAGGGCAGCAGAAGUCAGCUUGGAGGCGUCAACCUUGCAAAAGUCUUCCCCAAGGUUUUUGAUCAUCUCCUGAGACAAGAUGGGUGGAGCAGCUGUGCAACCGAUGCAGUUUUUAUUUUUGCAACCAGAUUUCUUGAAACCCUGAGUAAAGUUCAAAUUUCUUUUACUCCUCCUGAGAUCUUCAUCAGAAAUAGAGUUGGCCACUGAAAGCUUUUGAAAUUUCCUAUUCUGGUCAGCUUGUUGGAGUAGAGCCUUAGACCAAGGCCCGGCUGAGGAGGAGACCUUUUCAAUCAUCUUUUCCAGGGGAGUGCAAGGUGAGGAUCCAUUGUCAGCCAGAGCGUUCUUCAUGACCAGGGUAGAAUGAGAUGAAUCUGUUUGGAUGAGAGGUGUUGUUGCAGGGCUAGCAGUAUCUUCAUCCAACGUUUGCUCAGGAGUAACAUUGUUAGUAUUUGCUACCAGCUCUGGUUGCUUGGAUAGGCACAGAGGCAUGUCUGAAGAUGGGCACUUCUGUGGCAGGGUGAAAGGCAGAGACUGCCCAGAUUGAAUAAAUUGCAGAGCUAGGGAGGUUAGGAAGCUUUUGGCCCAAGCAAAGUUCAGAGGGUUGAGAAGCUGGGCCAUAAAAAAGUUGGACCAAGCCAUGGGGACCUGCAACUGACUAUCGGUCAUAUUAGAAGAGAAGUGUUUGGCCCAUUGCCUAUAUGUUUCUGCAGUGGGUUGUAUGAUCUCUGAAAACUUGGAGAAAUUCAGCUGUGCAAACACAGGGUCUUGUGCUGGUUCAAAAAUUUCCACAAAGCCAAGAUGCAUGUCAUUAUUCCCAUUCAUGGGCUGCAUCUCUUGGAUUGGAAUCUCCCCUAGAAGCUCAUUCUCAUUAAUUUCCUCUUGCAUCAUAUGAAGUGGCUGCUCACCAUCCUGAGGGAUAAAAACCUCCACUUGAAUAGGUUCUGGGUUGAUUUGAGCAGGCAGAGCAUUAUCACUAUCAGAGGAGUCAGAUCCAUCAAUAAUUUGUGCAUUAUCCUCAAUAGGGGCUUCAGCCCCCAGAUUGUCAGCUUCCUGGAUUAGAUUUUCAAUUCCACCCAUAUCUUCCUCAACAGCCAUAUUUAAGUCAAAAUCCAAUGGAUUGGCUGCAUUCACUUCCAUAACUUCAUUAGCCUUCAGAUUGGGCUGACCAUUUGGGCCCAAAGGUGCAGCAAGAGCUUGAACAAUUGGAGCGUGAGGUGCAGGUUGUGGACCAAUCAUUGGAGCAGCAUUUUGGUUGUCAGGCCCACCCGGCCAUAGACCCCAUUGUGGGGCCUGUCCUUGCUGAUUAGCAAAAGCACCUGCACCUGGUGCAUUGAUACCCAUUCCAUUAGCAGGCUGACCAUAACCAAAGAAAUCAAACAUGACAAGGUCCACAUCUCAGGAGGUUGAUCUUCAUCUGCAGGACCAGCACCCAAAAGCCUGUAUUGUAAAAUUUCAACUUGAACUGUCCAUGAGUUUCCUUCAAAAUCCUCCCCUUCAGAGUAGACCAGAAACCAGGGGAUCUCCGAUAAAUCCACCACUCUGACCUUAACAAUGGCUCUAGCUAAAUUGUUAGGAUCUUCUUCCCAAACAAUGAGGUUGCCAAAGACCGCAACAGCCUUUUCAAUAUCAGCCUUUGUCCAAUAGUCAAUAUUAAGAACAAGUAACAUAACCCAAGCUUCACAGUUCACGGUAAUGAGCCUAUUGUUCCAUCCCCUAUUAUGAUCAGAAAACGUAAACCGGUACUGGCCAUAUUCAUGUUGCCCUCCCCCAAUCAGGAAAUCUUUAUCGUGCACAAAGUGAAAACGAACAUAGGCUUGACCAAAGGGGCAAGGUUGAAUGGAGUGAAUGGCCAAUCCGCGGUGAUUCCUCAAGAAGUCAUCUAACAUUUCUCUGAUGGACUGAAAAGAUACCUGUUGAUGUGGUAGUCGUUCAAUUUUUGCAAUCGCCACAUCACUCUGAUUGCUCCGCGGCCUGCCCAUCACGACUCGAGACAUAGGUUUGCGGAAACCAGCCAUUUGACGCUGGCAUCCCCUUGGCAUGAAAGGGGCUGGGUUGAUGAAGUUAUACGCCAUGAAAGCUUCUUGGAGGUCCCCCCAAAUCAAGCGCAGGGCUUGCCUCGGAGCAAUGUGGGCGAGAAGUGUUAUCGGAGGUGUGGGGGUUCGGUGGCGGGUGAGCAACAGGGGGAGGAGCGAAGCUAGGGGUAGGCGGCGGUGGGGUGGAGGGGGUUGCGGAGGCAGUGAAGUUGGCGGGGAAGGCGAAGAAGCACCGCCGGUAACUGCGCUUUGGAAAGGACAUUUCCAGAAAACUUGUUUGCUUGGGAGCAAGAGGAGUAACACCUAAAAGGAGUUUACCCAGCGCCUGAUAAUUUCCAACCGUCGGUUUGAGGCCAGGCAGGGGUCCACCCUUCAGUUGUGAGGGUUGGCGAAACCAGGAGUGAACUUCCGUAGAAUCCCGCUCGAGAGAGCAGAUGAAAAAGUGGGCACCUUAUUUGACAAGCCUGGGAACCUUGGCUUGUAUUUGCAUCGAGCCGCAAAGUGGCCCAAUCGGAAGCAUAGACCACAUCGAAUGGGCCGACGGCACGCCUCCCUCAAAUACGUAGAGGAGAGACACCGAGAGCACUGCUUGCGGCCCAAAUGAAUGCCUAAACUUGAAAAGUGAGACAGGCUAGCGGGUAGUAUUGAAGCAUCCCUUAAAUGAUGGCCUAGCAUAAUUGAAUUCCCUAAAUUAAGCUCCAAAUUAAGGUCAUUAAUGGUCUAGCUGGAAUUUGAAUUUGAAAGUGGACGGUUAGCAGGGGCAUUGAGCUUGUCCUUCUCAGGCGAUUUUCUGAUCCAGCGAGAACCGAUUCGAGAGAAAACCGAUCUUCAUUGUAACUGUGAAGAAUUUGUACGCAAUUGUCUCUGAAGAGAACCCGAAUUACCCAAAGGCAUCAAGUUGGCUCCUGUAAGGGGUAUCCGAGAAGAGGAACUGGGAUUCACUUUCUUAGACGCAACUGAAUCAAAAGGGAAAAAAGUUCCCUGAGAAAUAGCAAGCUCUGAUUGAGCAUAAUGAACUCAUUCCAUAGAUUGAAAACCACAUGAAAGAUUGCGCAUUCGGAAAAGCCAAAUUGAUAGACCAAUAAGCCAACCUCCGUAGAGGACACACAGAAUUUGAAUACCCAAUCAUCCACUUUAUAAACUUGAAAAAGUUGAGCAGAAACACCAAUAACAGGUUGGAGUAAAAAACUCAUAUUCUCCACCGAUAACUUGAUCUUGGAUCUGGUGAAAGUUGCAAGGAGCCAGAAGCUUGACUGAGAGGAGGGAGGAGCGGAGACUCCUAUGCCCAGAAGAGAUCGUACCUUGGCUGAAAAAUCCAAACCCGGGCGAAGGUCCACAUUGGAGAGAACCAUGGCUGAAAAAGACUGGAGAAGGAGAGAGGGGAGGGGAGGUGGUGUUGGACGCCGGGGCCGGAGUGGACACCGGUGGGGGGAGGGGUGCAAGGUGCGUGAGGAAGAAGAGACGGUGGACGCUGGGGCCGGGAUGGCCAUCGGCGGCGAGAGGGAGGGGCGCUCAGGCGCUCAAGCGCACAGGCGCGCGCUCUGGCCCAUCAUAUUGUGAUUACAUGCUCUCCAGUUUCAGAACUUGCUGCACUGGCUCGGCCUCCAUGCUUACGUCAUCAUCAUUGCUGGUGCCAGGAUCAUAUCGGCCUGAUCGGCCGAUUCCCUCGAACUUUGAGAGGAUUAUUUUCACCUUGUCAGUUGAAUGGUCAAACUGACUGUCAGGCCCACGUAUACCACACACGCUGAUCUACAACCUGUACUUGAGCGAAGCAGAACACUCAGGUUUCGUGUGUUAGUACGUGAAGGUCACUGCACGAUUUUUGCGUCAACACACUUUUGGCACGCCUGGUGGGACAGAAAUAUCAAAGGGAAAUUAGUCAAGUACAAGUGUUAUCGAUCAUCGGAUUAUUGGUGGCCGCCUGCUUGUGUUUCUAUCAGUAAUAGUGCUCUAGCCGAUGAGAGUAGUGCUAGAGGAUUUUGAGCCGAUGAUUGAGAAUUCAUUGGAAUAUAAUAAGAAGGGAAUGUGUCAGCAAGUCUUGUGUUCAGCAGCCAAUGGAACGAUAGAGAAGACCUUUGAGUUUUACUGGUAGCCAAUGAAUGUUCUGUGGCAUGUUGCACAGCCGAUGAUGCUAAAUUCCAGCUACUGAUAUGACAGAAAGCUCUUCCAGCCGAUGAGUAGUUUCGGAAAGUAGGGAAAAUGAAUUCUUCCACACAGAGACAUCAAGGUAUUGUCAGUGUUAUUAUCUCAGCUAUUAAUUUCGAAGCAUGAAACAACAUUCAUACUCCGAAAUUAGGGGGGCCUACACGUUGACAACAAAACUUGUUGGUUACUGCACCAAGUUUUGGUGUCCAUAGACUCAUCUGUUGUUUCCACUGCCAGCGAAUUCAUCAGCUUAUAGUGGGAUCAAGGUAUCAAGCCGAUGGGAUUCUUUAUAUUUCAAGAGAAGUCGAUGCGGCUUUGAAUAUUGCAAUCAGACAUCAUUGGCUCCAAAGACAGGCAUCGGACCUCUAUAAUUAGUUUCGAAACAUGAAGCCUUCACUCAGAAACUGGGGGGCCUGUGUUAACACCAAAAUUUGGAAAUAUGCUCUGGAAAGAAGGAAUCGGCCGAUGAUGCGGAAAAAUGACAAAAUCUCCUAAAUAAGGCUAUUUGCGAGAUGGUCGCAAAAAUCAGGAACAUGUGCAUGAAGAAAGAGAAAGCAAUAAAGCAAGAGGAAUAAAAGAAGGAAAUCAACGCACACAUGUACACGACAAGAGUGCCAACAGUUUGGCAUCCAAAGGAUUGUCUUAUAGAAUAAAAUAUUCUGGAAAUAGAGUUGGUUAGGGAUAAGCUUGAUUAGAGAUAGAGUUGGAUUAGUUAGAGAUAGAGUUUUGAUUAGAAAAGAUUGUGUACAUGACUUGCCUUGCACGUGGUUAGAUGCCAACUAUGUAACAUCAAAGGCCAUCCGCCCUAUAAAUAUAAAGGGUCGUGGCCAUUGUAAGACAUCACACGAUCAAUACAACAUAUUUACCUUUACGCAUCUACCUUUCGGCAUCACGCCAUUGCCCUAGGAGUAGGAGUAAUAUAGCUUCUCGACGAGUUCCUUCUAGCAAGCUGGGCUGCAUCAACCUCGAUCUCCAGCAAGCUGCAAGUUCUCAUCAUCAGGUGUACUAGACGUCAACUUCCGGCGUAUCGCUAUCGUUGGGUCUGGUUUCAUCUACCAGUUAUCGAGUAUCUUGGAUCCUUGACUUACGGCGCACCACUUCUGUCUCGAUCUACGGUAUUCACCAGUUAUCCUACUUGAUUAAGUUUGCAUCAGCUGAUAUUUAUCUAUUCUAUCAUCUUACCGUCUAGUUUGCUUUAAUUAGCUCUAGAUCAUAUCAUCGUAGACGAUAGAUCACUUAAUAAACUAUUGCAUCUUAAUCUUAUUUACCCCUUGAGUGGUGUUGGAAUUGAGUUCCAUUGUUAUUGGAUUCAUCGGUUGGCGGGGUUUAAAUUGACAUCCUGCCAAGUGUUUCUAGGCUGCAACUACCGGGCGCAUCGCUGUGGAUCUUGGUUAUUAGCUUGAUGGUUGAGUUAAGGAGGGAGAUAGGGAUGGUCUGAAAUCUCCAACUUCCAUGGGGCGAUCUUUUGGGGGGAUGAGUGUGAUGUAGGAGGCAUUGAUACUUUGCACACAUACUCUUUUUUCAUAGAACCCCUCACAUAAUUCAUAGAAGUCUUCAGCAAUUACCUGCUAGCAUGUCUUGACGAAUUCCCCAUUGAAGCCAUAUGGGACUGGUGACUUGUUGCUUGGAAGAUCCUUGAUAAUUUGGUCAAUUUCUUCUUUUGAGAAGGGAGCUUCCAACCAUUCUAAAUCCAGAACUGGUGUCAAAAGAGAGGGGAGUUCAAAGUACAUGUGGGUAAUUAAGAUCUCCUCAUCCUUUCUUCGUAAGCUUCCCAAAGGAGGCGAGUUUUAGCUUCAUGAUCAGAGAAAGACUGCCCAUUGGCAUAUCUUAGUGAGGAGAUGUAAUUGAUCCUAUUUCAGACAGAGGCCCGAGCAUGAAAAAAUCUUGUACUUUCAUCCCCCAUUUUUUACCUAGUUAAUAGAGCUUGUCUGCUGCCAAUAGACCUUCUGUUGAUGAAGAAGGCUAUUAAGAUGUGAUGAUAUGAUUUCCCAAAAGUUCCACUCCUGCAGGGUGAGGUAUCUAGUUUCUUCGAUGAUAUCUAAGAACUGCAGGACAUCUUUUGUGUUCUGAAUUAUUUUGGCCAAGCUGGGAAGUUGAGACUUCCAAGUCCCGAAAACCUUUCUCAUGUUUUUGAAUUUGGCUCCUAUGUUCUUUGCCUUGUCGGAGCUGGGAAAAGGUGACACCCAUCCUUGUUGGAGAUUGAAAGGGAAUUGAUCAUGCUCUAGCCAGUAGUUCUCAAAACGGUAGACAUGUGGUGUUGGUAGGCUAUUAGAGAUCGACACAAGGCAAGGGAUAUGAUCCGUUGAGUCCCUGGAUAACGAGGAGGUAAAGGUGUUGGGAUAAGUUAUAAUCCAAGAGAUAGAGAUAAAAAAAACCAGUCUAGUCUCUCCAGCAAGGGGUUGAUUUGUUUGAUGGACCAAGUGUACUUGCAACCUUUAAGUUGUAUCUAUGUUAACCUAAUCCUACUAAUUGCUUCGUUGAAGAGAAGCAUUUCCUGAACAUUUCCUCCCAGAUUGUUUCUGUCCUCUGGUUUCCUGAGAAGAUUGAAGUCCCUAACUAUUAGCCAUUUUUCAUCCUCAGGCAUUUCUAUCCAUUUGAACCAAUCUAUAAAAGACAUCUUCCCCUCUAGGGUGCAAGGAGCGUAAAUAUUAGUGAGGAUCCACCUGUCUCCCAAUAGCUUGCAUUGUAGUUCAAUGGAGUGAGCAAAGUUGUUUUGGAAGAUAGGCUCACCCUUGAGCUUGGAGCCAUUCCAUGAUAUUAGAGUGCCCCCUGAGUUACCAGUGGAUGGGAGGAAGUCAAACAGAUCUAGUUGGGGGUGGCAGAAAUUCCGGACAUAUCUUGCGUCAAAAGAUUCUCGUUUAGUCUCCUGUAGACAAACAAUAUUGCAGUUGGACUUAGAAAUUUUACUUUUGAUUGUGUUGCAUCUUGUCUGGGAGUUGAUGCCCCUAACAUUCCAGGAUAACAUGUUCCAGGAUCGUUUCGUGUUCAUUUGGAAAGGGUGUGUGCUUGGUAAUACCUCACUACCGGCUCAACAAAUAGUGUGAAAAUAAGUGUGGAAAGGAGAAUCCUUGAAUUGAAAAGCCAAAAAUGAGGGGAUUAACCCCUCAGAUUCUUUGAAGCAAGACAACCAAAAUAAGGUAAAUCCCACAUUAACCUAACAGCAAAAUAACUGUUCCUAGGAAGUUUAAACACCAACAUAAUAUCAUUUGCAACAUAAAGAUAAAUGAAAGAUAGCUGUCUUCACUGAAACAGACCAGAUGCAAGAUCCAACCAUGUCCCAGAUUAUAGUGCUUCUUGACUAUAUCCCUGGCGUUGUCUGUUUUGGCCUGAUAUUUCUACACUUUCCCCUUGUGUGGAAUAUCCGUCGAGGCCUUUCCCUUUCCAUCUCCAAUGGUCUUUUGAGAGGCGGGCUUAGAGAUUAACAGAUCAUCAGUGGUUCAGGCAGAGUCGAUGCCACACACCUGCCCACCUAGGUCUUGAAUGCUUGAAGAAGAGAGUGAUGGUGGCGUUGCGUUGCAAGCGAGGCAGUUUCUAUCCUGGCAAGUUUUUUUGUGAAAUCCUCCACUUUUGUCUUUGAGUCUAUUGCUUCUCCCGACGCUGGACUCAACUACCGGCACAGCCCUUGCUCCCAAUCUGGCCCUAGAUUUCUUUAGGGCCUUUUCUUCUUCUUGCUCAGGCUCUGAUUCCUUCAGAGGAGAAGAAAUACCGGUCUCCUCCUGCUCAUUAAGACAAAUAACUGGGCUGCUACUGGGGCACAAAGAGCGGAUGGUGAAGGCCAUCAUGGCAGAUAAAUCAGCGUAGCUUAGUAAUGCCUCCCAGACUCUGGAGGCUAGGAACUUCUUGGCCCAAUCGAAGUGUUGGGGGAUAGCAACAUCACCAUGAAGAAAGCGUCCCAAUAUGUUGGUAUGUGAACCACCUGCUCAGGAUAUCCUACAGGAGAGAAAAACUGGGCCCAAAGCUUUUUCAACCUCGAGCAUGACGAUCGCUUGGUUGUCAUCCUUCUUCGAAGUCCCUACCGCGACCUUAGGAGCGAUCCUCUCGACUUUCCUCGUUUUCCCUCUGCCACUGCCACCAGCCUGCUCCAAGCCUAUUGCGCUAGUUUCUCGCAUCCAUUUCAAAAUCUUACAAGGUUUGGGGUGAGGCGCAACCUCAACCCCAAGUUCUUCAAACACAUGAUUGACCCGAAGCUCGUGAGGGACGAUCCCGCGGGCCGAUGACAGCUCAGUCUUAGUGCAAGGGCCAAUAAUAUCAAUGUCAUAUCUCUCAACAUCAUCAACAAAAAGACCGGGGUUGGCACCCUCGGGCAGCUCCACCCCGAAGUGAGGGUAAGGGAGUGGGCUAGUACUCCACGGAACCUCCUUCGGCACAAUCUCCAGCGGACACCACCCAUCGGAAAGGGGCUAGAUGUUAGCUGCCAGAAACUCUUCAACGAGAUCCCGCCCGGGGAUCAACUUCGAGGCUAGGAGGAAAGCGCCCUCACGUUCCUUGACUACCUUGGACCUUGUAAAAGUAGAGGUAGUACUAAUGUCCAUAGGGCCUAAGGGAGCAUAGAAGGGAUAGAAAGGUCGGCUGAUACCAAACGCAUCAGCCAUGUCAAUCUUAAUAUAGAACCAGUAGCUUAGCCAAUCGUCUUCCCACCUAUUCCUCUAUGCAUAAGAAAGCUCAAUCCUCUUGAUUCCUUGCUUCUCAUUGUUCUUCCUCCGAGUCGCGAAGCUACAGCACCCAAACUUUUUCUCAAAAAAACCUUCCUCGUCAUCGAACAUAACUCUCUUCCUCUGGAUAUGGAGUUCAAACAACCUCGCGAACCCAUCGACAUCAAUGUGACUGCCAAAUGUACGCUGCACCCAAUAGAACUUGGACAGAGCAACAAAGGCAUUCGGAGUGAGAUGACGAAGCCUUGCCUUGUAUUGGUCCAAGAUUGUAUGCAAUUCCUUGUCACACGAAAAUCUCAAUCCGAUAAUGAAAAAAUUCCUUGAACACAAUAGCCUCGCCUACCCUAGGCGCCAGCACAUCUUCGUCACCAGGUACCCUAGCAACACCCUCGGGGAAGUAGCCCUUGUCAACGUAAAACUUUAUCAUGUUGUUGGAAACCAAAGACUUCUCGAACUACAUGGUAGGGACGUAUACUUCCUUUGCUGCCAUUAGCUCUGACCGAUCAGCCUCGACGCCUGUAAGGUCCUCUCUACUUUCGGAGCUACUCUCGGAGUCACCAUUGCCCGCGUUACCCUCGUCACCGUAGGUUAGCUUCGCGGCGUCCUCGAUGGCCUUAUCCACAUCUAGGCCUUCCUCAACCUUGUUGGAAAGCCUAGUCUGUUCAGCAAACUCCUCUGAUGUCAUGGGCCUUGUGGUUCGCAUACUACAAGCCAGCUGCAAAGCAUCAAAACAUCAUCUCAGAAAUAAAAGCAAAGGAAAAACUCACACUAAAAGAGAGACACAAAUAACAUCGUUACCUUCGAGAUCCUUGAGGCCAAGGAAAACAGCAUAUGACACACGAAUCUCAAAGCACGGAAGCAACGAGCAAAGCAGGAGCGCAAAAGGUCUCAGCCGUGAGUGUAAAAACAAAAGCGACCCACACCCUACCCCCCCCCCCCACCCUUUAUAGGCACGGUAAAGGGCGCGGAACGGCACCUAAAACCUCGAGCCGAAUACGAAGGGUCAUCCAAUAGGAAAGCGACACAUUACACCAAAAAGGUAACCGUUGGCUCAUUUCUAACCGACGCUCGAGGGUGACAUUUUUUAGGAUAAGAUCCUUAAGUCGCGGGUUCGGUCGUCGGUGUCGUGCCUCGCCCACGAGGGGCUGCUGUUGGGGAUCGUCCAAAAAAGAUGGUCACCCUUGAGGUCAUUUUGAUAACCAUGAUCAACUCAGCCCCACAAAAUAAGUAGCCUCGGGCGAGAGUUCCUAACCUCGAGGAACAAAUCUGGCAUGAAAGACAGCUCUAACCUCGCAACGCUGCCGCAAGGUCAGUCUCGAAGAUGGGAAACAAUUACUGAUUGUCAAGCACUAAUCAAGCUUACCCUUGAGUGCUCAAAGAUGACUCCGAGCGCCGAGUUGUCCACUAUCUUAUGUAGUGUCGUUGAAACAAGCCGUGGUUCACGGUGCGGAGGUGGGGUAUCUUUGGCCUGAGGCUAAGGUGGUCUCGGGCCAGAGGUCAAAGUCAUGGAGGUGCUGAAAACGUGGGAGCGUGAUUCGCGGGACUUGCUCAGAGCGUGAUUCGCGGGAUUGCCUGAAGGCGUGGGAAGCAUGAUUAAAGGAGGAGACCAAGUCAUACAAGUUACCUCUUAAAAAGACCUCUAUGUAAAGCAUAUUCUAGUAACGUAGUGGGUGAGUAAGGAUAAUUGCGGAAUUUAAAGUGUCCUCCGAGAUACUAUAAAAAAGGAGAGCCCUGUAACGUUACGUUCAUUUUCAUGGAAUUGAAUCGCAGCAACUGAAACUUUCAGUUGUUUCCCAACAUCAGCACUGUUUCCCUAUAUUACACUUGUAUUUUCUGCACAUCAAAUGGAUAUGCACAUCAAAUGAGCUAUUAUUUCCGUUCGAAACCAAAAAGAUCGAUAUGUUGCAUUGAUUCAGAUUGAAUUUUACGCCAAGCUUAGAGGGUGAUUCUGAUUGAAUUAUUUAUCCUAAUUUUUAUAUGGGGUUGCUGAAUCAGGCGAGCCCAUUAAUUAGUAACACAUCUUGUCGGCGGGUCAACCGUGUUAACGUGCAUGCUACUUGCACAACUGUAUUAUACUCUCACGAUGGACAAAUUUUCUGCCUACAAAUAGCGCAUCUGCAUUGCUAUCCCAACAUGCACUUCUCCUCCUCUCCGAUCUCUUCCUAUAGCUAUAGCUGCAACAACUAGCUAGUCCUGAUCACCAUGGCUGCCGCGAUGCUCAAGAUGGCCAUUGUUGCCGCCUGCAUCGCGCUGGCCCUGCUCUCCAUGGGUCCGCCGGCGGCGAUGGCUGACAUCCAGGACGACUGCCGCGCGACUUGCCGUGGUCUCUGCGAUGGCUUCGGUACGAACACGUGCAAUAACAUCAUUGCCAUCGCCCCUGCUGUCCUGAACAAUAUCAACUUCUUCUUCACGACGUGCAAAGUGAGGGUCACUGGGCUGUGCGCGUCCUUCUGCGUCACUACCUGCAGCCUCAACACCGUGACGCCGGCCAGCCCGCCGCCACCACCAUGCAAGCCAUAAUUGGUCUAUGCGUAUUACUACAGCAUGAAUGUAAUUCAAGUCCCGGCCGUAGAUCCGGGUAUUUGCGUUUAAUUCUAAUUUCCCUUUGAUUGUUCCGGUUGUCGUGUCACACCUGCAUAUGUAAUUCAAGUCCAGUCAUGCAUUAUUGUGCACACCUGCAUAUGUAAUUUUAUUUGAAAAGGUUAUUACCUAUCUUGAGAAAUUUACGGCUAUUAUUUUUACCGCGAUAUAUUUACCUGCAUUGUACCUUCCAUCACAAUACUAUGGUUAAUUUUUCUAUUUCUCUAUCUUCUAUCUCUUCCCAAAAGUUUGAGCUGAUGUGCUCCUCCCUCCUCUCGGACACAAUUCCACUACUGGAUACUCCCUCCGUUUUUAUUUAUAAGGUGCACACACAUAUCAAGAUUCAAACUUUGCAAUCUUUGACCAAUAACGUGACCAUUAAUUUUUUAUUUGUAUAAUAUAACUUUGUAUGGUUGGAUUCAAAAUCAAAUAUACUCUAUUGUGAUUAUAAGUUUAUAAUCAUAAAUAAUAUAAUAUAAGAAAAAUGAAUGUCAUCAAAGUGUUAUUUAGAAGAUCGUACCAAAUCAUACUAUGCCUUAUAAAAAUAGAUGGAGGGAGUACUACCCUAACUGCAUUAAAUAGAUCGUUGAUGUUUUGCCACCAAAACCCCCAGUGUUGAUCUUCCACCACCAUAGCUAGAGGCACAACGCCACACAACCCCCCCCCCCCUCCUACUCCGUUGCCUCCAGCAGGCUAGCAUACGCGCGCCCAUGGUCUCCCCCUAAGCGUGCCCCUCAUCCAUCCUGAACCCUAAACAUCGCCAACAAAAAUUGGACAACAUAGCUACAACCCUCAACUGUAUGUGGUCCCAGAGGCUGGAUAUUUUUUUCCACUUUCUAAAAAAACAAUAGCAAACCCUACCGAUCGUGAUAUGGACAGUCAGCAACCCUAUUUCUCCCAAUUUUCAUAUGCAGCGACUGGAUGACAACUUCAUUAUAAACUCCCUCAGUCAACGGUGCUCAUUAGAAAAUGUUAUACAUACUUGUAGGCUGGUGUGUAUGCAUGUAAUAUCUCAUUAACUACUACAACGAAUGAAAUGCAUGCUCAUCCUACUGUAAUGCAUUCAAACGACUCUAAGGGCCUGUUUGUUUCCCUCCUGGAUUAUAUAAGCCGGAUUAAAGGGUAGGAGGAUAAAAGAUCAUCAUGGGAUCACUAGGGGACCACAGAUAAUCUGAAAUAAGCUAGCCUUUGGUAGCUUAUUUCAGAUUAUACGUGGUCCCAAAAUGAUAUUUUACCAUAGUAUUCAAGACCCAUAAUCCAACUUAUCUAAUUUAGGUGGAUUAUAAUCCCAAACAAACAGGCCUAUACCUUCUAAUGCUCAUCACACUGCUUGCUGCGUCAGCCACGCUUGCAAACGUGCAUGCUACUUGCACCACGCUGCUCGUUAGUCAGCAGUUUGUAGCAGCCAUGCAUGUUAUCAUUUUCUAUCAACGAAUCUCAGGAGCAAGCAUACACGUACGUACGUGAUGGCACAAUUGUGUACAGCGGAUGCCUAUAUCUUGCUAGACUAAUAGGAGAGAGUACGUUUGGAAUGUUGAUGCUAAUCAUAGCGAUCAAAACGCGCUAGAAAAAAAUUGAUAAAUCCUUCUUCUUCUUUUUGUUCUCGGCCAUUAUGAUUCCUUAUGGUAUUUGGAUGGAAUGAACUUGGGGAUACGAGUGAGUGAGCGAGCAACACUUUAUCUUUGGAUAUGAUCCCAAGUUGCAUGCUUUUUUUUCCAGGUGCAUAGUUGUAUGAUGCUUGAGCUAUAGCAUUGCCAAAUUCAUCACUUUUUCCCCUAUUACGCUGGUAUUUUCUUCACAUCAAAUGGAUCCACUAGCCGAGCUAUUUUUUUGUUGGAAAUUGAAAAGAUCUGUUGCAUUGAUUCAGAUUGAAUUUUACGACAAGCUUAUAGGUUGAUCCUGAUUCGGGCAGCAGGGCAAUCUUAUUUAUCCUAAUUUUUAUAUGAGGUUAUUUAUCCUAAUUUUUAUAUGGGGUUACUGAAUCAUUGCGAGCUCAUUAUGAACUGCCAGCAGUAGUCAACGGUACUCCUGCUAGCACCAAAUCUUUUAAUUCUAUUAUUGGUGUGGGUGUGGGUCAACCUGUUUACGUGUUGCAUGUGCGCUACUUGCAGAACUGUACAUGAACCGAGGGGGGAACGUUGUUGAAAGUCCAGUCAUUCCUCACAGACCAAAUGCUCCAGGUCAUCAGGAUAGUGAUCUCCAUGAAGAAGGGUACAUUCAGCUUGUGUUGGAUAGAGCUGAGUAUCCGGAGUGGAUGUCUGGUGGUAACCGUUGUUACUCCAAUGGAUGACCAGCAGGUUUUUGCAAAGUUGCAUCUGAAAAAGACAUGUGCCAUUGUCUCUCUUUUUUGAAGGAUGCAAUGCUCACAGGUAUAGGAUUCAAGGCUCAUUGUUUUCCUGCCUAGGAUAUCCUUGUACUUAGUCUGUCUUUACUUAGCAGCUAGAAAAACACCUUAUGUUUCUUUUGGCGUUUCGACUUCCACAGCCAUCGGUGGAUUGGGUGGACACUUCUCAGGCCCAUCACGGCCUUGUAAGUUUUCGCAACUGAGAAGUGGGGGCUGCCCCAGAUGUAGGUCUACUGAUCUCUAUCCUGCUGAGUGACAACAUUCCUCAUUCUAUUUUGCAGAGUAAGUAGCUGUUGAUGGGCUUCUCCGAGAGUGGCAGAUGGAAGUUGUGAGAUAGGGAAGGUCUCCUAAUGGCCUCUUUGUAUGCGAUUAGCUUGUUUUUAGCGAAUGAAAAGAGCUGGGGAAAUUCCAGGGAGAGAACCUGCUCGUUCCAUGUGUCCAUCCAGAAUAAGAUAGUAGAACCAUCCGAAACCCAUACUAAGGCUGUCUAGUAAUUUAACUACGUCUUUCCAUCAAAAUGAGCCUUUUUGUUUAUGUCCAAGCAGUUUUCCAUUAUGAUAGUAGUUGUCUCAGACUAGAUGUACCUAUGGGAUGUCUGCCUUCGUGAAGAACUUAUGGAGGAACUUGAGCAGGAGAUCCUCAUUUUGGCUAUUCAGACUAAUGACUCCAAGUCCUCCUUGCUGUUUGGGCAGGCAUACCAUAGGCCAGGCCGCUUUGGAUGGCCUUUUAGAUGAUAAGUCAGAUCCUCGCCAGAGGCAAUGCUUCCUGUAGUUGUCCAGUUGAGAGAUGAACCCCUUGUGAAGCUUCAGAGUGGCCAUAUGGAACAUUGGUGAGUACGAGAACACCGAAUUAACCAGCUCUAGUUUGCUCCCGUGGGAUAGCAUGUUGGAGAUACCACCUAUCCUUCUCUCCACUUUCUUGAUUAGGGGUAGAAAUUCCUCAAUAUUAGGCUUUGUUGUUCCUAGUGGCAGUCCUAGGUAAGUGGAAGGAAAGCUUCCAACCUGACAGUCAAAAACUGAUGAGAGUUGUUGUAGUUUUUCCUCAGGAGUGUUCAGGGGGACCAUAACAGAUUUGUUGUAAUUGACCUUAAGUCCUGUUGAGUCUGCAAAAAGGUUUAGCAAAUGCUUUAGAUGCAGCAGCUGAACUGGGUCGGCUUCCAUUACCAGUAAGGUAUCAUGUGCGUAUUGGAUGACUAGGAAAUCUAGACCAGCUCUUUCAGGUAUUGGCAAUUGUAAGCUUCCUUCCUCUUUGGCCUUAUUCAAAAUAGAUUGAAGGAGGUCCACUACUAGCACAAAGAGGAGUGGAGACAGCGGAUCCCCUUGCCUGACCCCUCGUCUGCAGUGGAAGACUUUCCCUGAUACUCCAUUGAGUAGAAAUGAGGAUGUUCCAGAACCGAGGAUGUCCUUAAUCCAUCCUAUCCAUCUAUCCCCAAAGCCCUUGUGUUUUUGGAUGUCCAAGAUGGCAUGGUGUUCUAUUCUAUCAAAUGCCUUCUCGAAGUCAAGCUUGAGAAUGAUGAGCUCCUUCUUGGAAGUCUUACAAAUGUGUAGAUAUUUAAAUGCUUAGGCUAAACAAUCUUGAAUAGAUCUGGAUUCUAUGAAACCAUAUUGGUUCUGAUGCAGUAGUCUUAGGAUGAUCUUCUGAAGCCAUUCUGCUAGGAGCUUGGUUAUUAGCUUGAUGGUUGAGUUAAGGAGGGAGAUAGGUUUGAAAUUUCCGACUUCCAUGGGGCAGUCUUUUUUUGGGUUGAGUGUGAUGUAGGAGGCAUUGAUAUUUGCACGCAUACUCUUUUGUCAUAGAACCCCUCACAUAAUUCAUAGAAGUCUUCAGCAAUUACCUCCUAGCAUGUCUUGAGGAAUUCCCCAUUGAAGCCAUCUGGGCCAGGUGAUUUGUUGCUUGGAAGAUCCUUGAUAAUUUGGUCAAUUUCUUCUUUUGAGAAGGGAGCUUCCAGCAAUUCUAAAUCCAGAACUGGUGUCAAAAGAGAGGGGAGUUCAAAGUACAUGUGGGUAAUUAAGAUCUCCCCAUCCUUUCUUUGUAAGCUUCCCAAAAGAGGCGAGCUUUAGCUUCAUGAUCGGAGAAAGACUACCCAUUGGCAUAUGUUAGUGAGGAGAUGUAAUUGAUCCUAUUUCUGACAGAGGCCCAAGCAUGAAAAAAUCUUGUACUUUCAUCCCCCAUUUUUUUCCCAGUUAAUAGAGCUUCUCCGCUGCCAAUAGACCUUCUGUUGAUGAAGAAGGCUAUUAAGAUGUGAAGAUAUGAUUUCCCUAAAGUUCCACUCCUGCAGGGUGAGGUCUCUGGUUUCUUCGAUGAUAUCUAAGAGCUGCAGGACAUCUUUUGUGGUCUGAAUUGUUUUGGCCAAACUGGGAAGUUGAGACUUCCAAGUCCUGAAAACCUUUCUCAUGUUUUUGAAUUUGGCUCCUAUGUUCUUUUCCUUGUCAGAGCUGGGAAAAGGUGACACCCAUCCUUGUUGGAGAAUGAAAGGGGAUUGAUCAUGCUCUAGCCAGUAGUUCUCAAAACAGAAGACCUGUGGUGUUGGUAGGCUAUUAGAGAUCAACACAAUGCAAGGGAUAUGAUCCGACAAGUCCCUGGAUAACGAGGAGGCAAAUGUGAUGGGAUAAGUUAUAAUCCAAGAGCUAGAGAUGAAGAAUCAGUCUAGUCUCUCCAGCAAGGGGUUGAUUUGUUUGUUGGACCAAGUGUACUUGCAACCUUUAAGUUGUAUCUCUGUUAACCUAAGCCGGCUAAUCGCUUCCUUGAAGAGAAGCAUUUCCUGGACAUUUCCUCCCGGUUUGUUUCUGUCCUCUGGUUCCCUGAGAAGAUUGAAGUCCCCAACUAUUAGCCAUUUUUCAUCCUCAGGCAUUUCUAUCCGUUUGAACCAAUCUAUAAAAGGCAUCUUCCCCUCUGGGGUGCAAGGAGCAUAAAUAUAAGUGGGGAUCCACCUGUCUCCCGAUAGCUUGCAUUGUAGUUCGAUGGAAUGAGCGAAGUUGUUUUGGAAGAUAGGCUCACCCUUGAGCUUCAAGCCAUUCCAUGCUAUUAGAGUGCCCCUCGAGUUACCAGUGGAUGGGAGGACGUCAAACAGAUCUAGUUGGGGGGUGGCAGAAAUUCUAGAUGUAUCUUGCGUCAAAAGAUUCACAGUUAGUCUCUUGUUGACAAGCUGGACUCAGAAAUUUUAGUUUUGACUACGUUCCAUCUUCUCUAGGAGUUGAUGCCCCUAACAUACCAGGAUAACACGUUCCAAGAUCGUUUCUGGUUCAUUUGGAAAUGGUGUGUGCUUGGUAAUACCUCACUGCCGGCUCAACAAACAGUGGCAAAAUAAGCGUGGAAAGGAGAAUCCUUGAAUCAAAAAGCCAAAAAGGAGGGGAUGAACCCCUCAAAUUCUUUGAAGCAACACAACCACAAUAAGGUAAAUCCCACAUUAACCAAACAGCAAAAUAACUAUUCCCAGGAAGUUUAAACCACCAACAUAAUAUCAUUUGCAACAUAAAGAUAAAUGAAAGAUAGCUGUCUUCACUGAAACAGACCAGCUGCAAGAUCCAACCAUGUCCCAGAUCCCUAGUGCUUCUUGACUGUAUCCCUGGCGUUGUCCGUUUUGGCCCAAUAUUUCUUCGCUUUCCCCUUGCGUGGAAUAUUUGCCGAGGCCUUUCCCUUUCCAUCUCCAAUGGUCUUCUGAGAGGUGGGCUUGGAGAUUAAUAGAUCAUCAGUGGUUCAGGCAGAGCCGAUGCCACACACCUGCCCACCUAGGUCUUGAAUGCUUGAAGAAGAGAGAGAUGGUGCCGUUGUGUUGCAAGCGAGGCAGUUUCUAUCCUGACAAGUUUUUUUGUGAAAUCCUCCACUUCUGUCUUUGAGCCUAUUGCUUCUCCCGACGCUAGACUCAACUUCUAGCACAGCCCUUGCUCCCAAUCUGGCAUUGGCUUUCUUUGGAGCCUUUUGUUCUUCUAGCUCAGGGUCUGAUUCCUUCAGAGGAGAAGAAGUACCAGUCUCCUCCUACUCAUUAAGACAAAUAACAGGGCUGCUACUAGGGCACAAAGAGUGGAUGGCGAAGGCCAUCAUGGCAGAUAAAUCAAUGCAACUUAGCAGUGCCUCCUUGGCUCUGGAGGCUAGGAACUUCUUGGCCCAAUCGAAUUGUUGGGGGGAUAGCAACACCACUAUGAAGAAAUCGGCCCAAUGUGUUGGUAUGUGAACCACCUGCUCAGGAUAUCCUAUAGGAGAGAAAAACUGGGCCCAAAUCCUGUAGACAUUUGGAUUUUGACAUGGAGCUGAGGCCCUGGGGGUGGUAAUGUCCUUGAUGCUAGGUCCAUCUAUCACAGGAAUUGAUUGUCUGAGUCUGCCUAAGAGAAGGUCCAGGUCAUGUGUGUUUGGUUGAACUGGGGUGACUACCAUGUUGACAUUAAGAUUAACCUGAAAAGGGGCCUCCUGGGCUUGAUUUGGCAAAAUACCCUGCUGUCCUGGGGGGAUGGCAGGCAACCCCAGCACCACAUCCUGAUCCAUCUCCAUAUCAUUGAGUUGAGCCCCAGCUUGUUCUGCAUGGAAGUCCAUAUUUUGGCCCAAUGGGGGCAUUGCAGCCACCACAUCAUCCAAUUCCAUAAUCUGAUUGUUGAGAACCGGUGGGUCUUGCACGAUCACCACUGGAAGAGGAGCUGAAGAGCUCGAGGAGUUGGUUGGAGGAGACAGGUUAAGGUCACCGGCGGAGGGAGAGCCCGCACUCCGCUCUCAACCACAACUGUUGUAAUAUUCCAAAAAUUUGAAAUAUUAUCAUGGUUGUAAUUUUCUCAAAAAUUUGAAAACUUUAUGUAUGGAUGUGUGCGAGUUGCAAACUACUCUAUCUCUCUCUCUCCUAAAUUCUAAAUUUCAAUAUGUGUGGCAUGAUUUGGAGUUAUGGAUCUUAUUUGGAGUUCUUGUUUGAGUGUUGUAUAAAAGCAAACUCAAUCCCUAAAUUCAAUUUCAUAUUCCAAAUUCAAAUAUGAAAUCAGAUAAAAACAAAAGCAAAACAAACUCCCUCAGCCAGGCCAGCCUACCGGCCAAAAACUGCUUUCAGCUCAGCUUGCCACGCUAAGUAACCAGGCCACCUUCGGCCCAACUUCAACCGCUGGCCCGCCUACCCCCUUUCCUCUUUUCCAGCUACAGCGGGCUACCCACCUUUCUUUCUCUUUUCGCCCAGCCCAAAGCAACCAGCCCGCUUAACCCUUUCCCCUUAGCUUCGUGGGCCGCUCUUCCUUUCCUUCAGGCCGGCCUGCAGGCCACUUUCUUCUUCCACAAACCGCCAACCCAGUCCGUCUCGACCUCCCCUCUCCUAUUCUUCUUCAACCUCGCACGGAUGCAAAAGCGUCGCGCGCAGGUGCACUACCUCGCGGCUGGGGGUGGCGUGUCCCGCUUCUGGAGGCUUCCACCAGGCGCUUCUGCUACCCCUACUCCGCCACCUACCCCCGCUCCCAGGGCCGUUGGAUGCACCGCAAUGGGCUCCAGGUGCGUAACCCUAGGAUCGACGGCCAGGAAACUCUAUGCCCCUCCACUGCCUUGGCCAAGCUAUAAAAUGGGGCUUUGGGCAUGCCCUAAGGCCAUCCCAUCCGCUCCGAGGGCUGCCUGUCCACCACCACCACCCAGUUGAGAGGAGGGCCGAGUUGAGAAGAAGGGUUGGGAGGAGAAGGAGGAGGCCCUGUCGAAGGAGUUGCUGCCAUCCGCGGGAGGAAUAAGGCGCUGUCCGAGGGAGUCACUGCGUGAGAAGAAGGCACCGUCCGAGGGAGCUCCAGCGAAGAAGGAGGCGCCGUCCAUGUGAAGCGUCGUCGCCAACUUCUUCCUCCUCACCACCGUCUACCUCGUCUACUCCACCACCACCUCUUCUUCCCCUUCGCCGAGACAGCCUUGUAAGCCUCCAAGAUCUCACCUUUCCCCUCUCCUGACUACCUGAAACCCUAAAGCCAUGGCCUUUGUGCUACCCUUUGCCUGCUUCGCCUGUGGAAGCACUUAUCGCCACUGUCCUUGCAUUUGAGCUCGCGUGAACCUCCUUGCUUGCUCGCGCCUCACUACUUGCGCUGCUCGCCCAGCUUGCCUUGGCCGUUUUCGCGUGCGCCAACUCUGCUGCUUGCCUUUGCAUGCACCCGCCCGCGCACCGCUGGGUCGUGUGCCCGCUUCUAACCGACGCAACGUCGCGCGAGGUUCGCGGUCACCAUGGCCGCUGGCUGCGGCAUCAUGAUGCUGUUCGCAGUCACCGCCUGCGCGUCGCGCGGCACAGCGCGUCGUUCGUGCACCGCACUCGCUGCCUGCCCGCUGUGCGGGCUUCGCAGCUCGCCGUGACACGCCACGGCGCACUAGCGCUCACCGCCGCCAUCACAAGCCACGUGGCCGCCCCGUCAGCGCCAUGUGGCAGGUGGGGGCCCACCUGUGGGUCCGCCCAUGGGGCAUACCUGUGGGGCCCAUCGUUGACCAGUGGGGUCCAUGCGUUGACCGUUGACCAUUGACCCAGUAAUGCUUCUUUCUCCUCUUUGCAGGGUCCUCCUCGUAUGCAAUCCCUAUAAUGAUUUUGCAACAUGAGCAAUUGUACCUGAAUCAAUCCACCAAGUAUAUCUACAGCACCCAAACUGUGUCUCAAAAAUACCUUCCUCGCAAUCGAACAUAACUCUCUUCCUCUGGAUAUGGAGUUCAAACAACCUCGCGAACCCAUCGACAUCAAUGUGACUGCCAAAUGUACGCUGCACCCAAUAGAACUUGGACAGAGCAACAAAGGCAUUCGGAGUGAGAUGACGAAGCCUUGCCUUGUAUUGGUCCAAGAUCGUAUGCAAUUCCUUGUCACAUGAAAAUCUCAAUCCGACAAUGAAAAAAAUCCUUGAACACAAUAGCCUCGCCUACCCUAGGCGCCAGCACAUCUUCGUCACCAGGUGCCCUAGAAACACCCUCGGGGAAGUAGACCUUGUCAACGUAAAACAUUAUCAUGUUGUUGGAAACCAAAGACUUCUCGAACUACAUGGUAGGGACGUAUACUUCCUUUGCUGCCAUUAGCUCUGACCGAUCAGCCUCAACGCCUGUAAGGUCCUCUCUACUUUCGGAGCUACUCUCGGAGUCACCAUUGCCCGCGUUACCCUCGUCACCGUAGGUUAGCUUCGCGGCGUCCUCGAUGGCCUUAUCCACAUCUAGGCCUUCCUCAACCUUGUUGGAAAGCCUAGUCUGUUCAGCAAACUCCUCUGAUGUCAUGGGCCUUGUGGUUCGCAUACUACAAGCCAGCUGCAAAGCAUCAAAACAUCAUCUCAGAAAUAAAAGCAAAGGAAAAACUCACACUAAAAGAGAGACACAAAUAACAUCGUUACCUUCGAGAUCCUUGAGGCCAAGGAAAACAGCAUAUGACACACGAAUCUCAAAGCACGGAAGCAACGAGCAAAGCAGGAGCGCAAAAGGUCUCAGCCGUGAGUGUAAAAACAAAAGCGACCCACACCCCACCCCCCCACCCUUUAUAGGCACGGUAAAGGGCGCGGAACGGCACCUAAAACCUCGAGCCGAAUACGAAGGGUCAUCCAAUAGGAAAGUGACACAUUACACCAAAAAGGUAACCGUUGGCUCAUUUCUAACCGACGCUCGAGGGUGACAUUUUUUAGGAUAAGAUCCUUAAGUCGCGGGUUCGGUCGUCGGUGUCGUGCCUCGCCCACGAGGGGCUGCUGUUGGGGAUCGUCCAAAAAAGAUGGUCACCCUUGAGGUCAUUUUGAUAACCAUGAUCAACUCAGCCCCACAAAAUAAGUAGCCUCGGGCGAGAGUUCCUAACCUCGAGGAACAAAUCUGGCAUGAAAGACAGCUCUAACCUCGCAACGCUGCCGCAAGGUCAGUCUCGAAGAUGGGAAACAAUUACUGAUUGUCAAGCACUAAUCAAGCUUACCCUUGAGUGCUCAAAGAUGACUCCGAGCGCCGAGUUGUCCACUAUCUUAUGUAGUGUCGUUGAAACAAGCCGUGGUUCACGGUGCGGAGGUGGGGUCUCUUUGGCCCGAGGCUAAGGUGGUCUCGGGCCAGAGGUCAAAGUCAUGGAGGUGCUGAAAACGUGGGAGCGUGAUUCGCGGGACUUGCUCAGAGCGUGAUUCGCAGGAUUGCUGAAGGCGUGGGAAGCAUGAUUAAAGGAGGAGACCAAGUCAUACAAGUUACCUCUUAAAAAGACCUCUAUGUAAAGCAUAUUCUAGUAACGUAGUGGGUGAGUAAGGAUAAUCGCGGAAUUUAAAGUGUCCUCCGAGAUACUAUAAAAAGGGAGAGCCCUGUAACGUUACGUUCAUUUUCAUGGAAUUGAAUCGCAGCAACUGAAACUUUCAGUUGUUUCCCAACAUCAGCACUGUUUCCCUAUAUUACACUUGUAUUUUCUGCACAUCAAAUGGAUAUGCACAUCAAAUGAGCUAUUAUUUCCGUUCGAAACCAAAAAGAUCGAUAUGUUGCAUUGAUUCAGAUUGAAUUUUACGCCAAGCUUAGAGGGUGAUUCUGAUUGAAUUAUUUAUCCUAAUUUUUAUAUGGGGUUGCUGAAUCAGGCGAGCCCAUUAAUUAGUAACACAUCUUGUCGGCGGGUCAACCGUGUUAACGUGCAUGCUACUUGCACAACUGUAUUAUACUCUCACGAUGGACAAAUUUUCUGCCUACAAAUAGCGCAUCUGCAUUGCUAUCCCAACAUGCACUUCUCCUCCUCUCCGAUCUCUUCCUAUAGCUAUAGCUGCAACAACUAGCUAGUCCUGAUCACCAUGGCUGCCGCGAUGCUCAAGAUGGCCAUUGUUGCCGCCUGCAUCGCGCUGGCCCUGCUCUCCAUGGGUCCGCCGGCGGCGAUGGCUGACAUCCAGGACGACUGCCGCGCGACUUGCCGUGGUCUCUGCGAUGGCUUCGGUACGAACACGUGCAAUAACAUCAUUGCCAUCGCCCCUGCUGUCCUGAACAAUAUCAACUUCUUCACGACGUGCAAAGUGAGGGUCACUGGGCUGUGCGCGUCCUUCUGCGUCACUACCUGCAGCCUCAACACCGUGACGCCGGCCAGCCCGCCGCCACCACCAUGCAAGCCAUAAUUGGUCUAUGCGUAUUACUACAGCAUGAAUGUAAUUCAAGUCCCGGCCGUAGAUCCGGGUAUUUGCGUUUAAUUCUAAUUUCCCUUUGAUUGUUCCGGUUGUCGUGUCACACCUGCAUAUGUAAUUCAAGUCCAGUCAUGCAUUAUUGUGCACACCUGCAUAUGUAAUUUUAUUUGAAAAGGUUAUUACCUAUCUUGAGAAAUUUACGGCUAUUAUUUUUACCGCGAUAUAUUUACCUGCAUUGUACCUUCCAUCACAAUACUAUGGUUAAUUUUUCUAUUUCUCUAUCUUCUAUCUCUUCCCAAAAGUUU